rnacentral:lncRNA from 1 species
UAUUGUAACGUAUGUUAUUGUUUGUUGUAUGCUUAACGGUUCAAUUUUUAACUUGUUCUUUAUUAAUUCUCAAUGUACUAUAUUUUGCAUGUAAAAUUAUUUAAUACGUGUAUUUGGUUGAGAUAUGUAUGAUUAGAUUUUACAUUGAGCUCUUAUAUUGAUACAUAUUUGUGAUUAUUAUCUUUUUUUUUUCUCUAUUUUUUUACCAUUGUUUUUUACUAAAAAUAAAAAAAUAUCAAUAGAGACAAGUAUAAAUAAGGAAGCUAAACCGUACCUUAUGAAGUACCUAAUAUUUACGACCUAAUAAGCUAUAGAGAAUUAAAUAUUUUCUGAUCAUUACCGAGUUUAUAAGAUAUUUAUGUAAAUUGCAUAAUUCUAAAAUGUUUUUGUUGCGUAUGUUAUUUUUUAACAAUUUCAUCCAAUAAUAAUGUUUAUGCAAGACUACGAUGUCCAAAUAAUACAUAUAUAGUAAUAGAACUUUAUUCAAUACCGCAACAAAACAUGAAAAUACCUACUCACAAGUGAGAGACAAUAAAUCUCUGUCACAUCCAAACAUGUCCAUGUAGUCUUUCUUCAAAUCUACUUGAACGAUAAUUCCACUCCCACAUGGUGUAUCAUACAACCAAAACAUAUCACUACGUCUCAAUCCAAAACUUAGCAAACAAGGUUUACCCCAACCAAAAUCAGCUUCAUUAAUAGGGAACCUACAUAAACUUGAUGCCAUGCACACAUCCACUUGUUCAUUUUCUUCCCAUUCUUGUAUUUCUUUAUGAAACUUGGAUGCUAGCGAAUAUAUAUCAUCACUAGAUUUCGCAAAUGAUACGUUGAUUUUUUGUAUGACGUCCUUGAUCAAUAGUAAAAUGUCUUUUAACUCCAUUCCUGUUUCUCCCGGGAUGAAUUUGACCGGGACUUCAAUAGCAAAAUUCCCAAAGGAGUUUUCGUAUCUUGGAAAGUCAAUUUUACCACGUAAAUUCACAGGGACGCUCAAUAAACAAGGUCUCAAACGUCCAUUACUUUUACAUCGAUAAACAUUGAUCAGAGCCCUCCAUAGAAAAGCAAUCACCAAUUCAACUCGUGAUGGUCUGAUAUGAACCACUCCAACAUGUUCCCUAAGUUUUGAUAUCACUGAUUGAUUUAUGACGAACCUCCUUGCUACCAUUUCAGGAAAAUCAUGAUUAGGAUCAUCUCUAGGAGACUCGACUCUUUUUAACAAAUGACUAUCACUUGUUGGUGGAAAAAUGGUACCAAAAUCAUCAAAAGUGAAGCAAUUGAUCUUAUUAAUUCCCAUUUUACUCACUUUAGACCACUCGUAAACAAAUUUCAAUGCUGUGAAUCCAUCAAUAACCGCAUGUUCAGAGCUUACACAUAAAGCUAGCCCCUUACCACAAGCAAACUCCGUCACUUGCACUACAACUAGUGGUGUCAUAGACAAAUUCGAAUCGUUACGAUCGACUUUAGGGCAAAAAUUCAAUGCUAGGUCGAUAUCUUUUUGUGCAUCCUUGAGGAAAUCACAAAAUUGAGAAUCAACUUUUGCCUUUAUAUACAAAACACCUUCAUCAUGACAAUUGAUAGAUUGACCAUCAGAUGAAAAUCUACCUGACGCUGGAUAAACAUGACUUAAAAGCUUAGACAAUGAUUGUUGAAAUUGUUCGUGUAUAAUAGGAGUUUUAGUAAAUGUGGGAUUUUUGAGUGGAUAAAAAAGAACACAAGGGACAUGCAUUUGGAGAGCAAAUUGAUCAAAAAAGGAUAAUUUGUAAAUUUUGGGGUGAUCAACAUUAUUAUCAUGAUUUGAUUUUAUGAUACUUUUGGAAAGGAUUUGAAUCUUUGUAAGAACCUUGGACUCCAUUUUUCUAUUUUGAUUUGAAGGUGUUGUCAAUAAUAACUCCAAAUCAUGCCAUCAAUAUAUAGCCUUCAUGUCUCGAUCCAUUUCUCACAACAUUUUAAAAAGAAAUUAAUGGAGGCUAAAAUCAACCUUAAUAACACCGUCAAUAUAAUUUCAUAAAUAAAAUAUAAAAACAAAGUAAAAUAUAUCCAUGUAUUAUAUUUACAUCAUAAAAAUUAAAAAGUUGUUUUCGACACACCCUUAAUUAGGGGGAUAUGAACUAAAAUUUUCUUUUCUAACUACUUAAACUAAAAACAUAUAAGAUCUUUAACAUUUUGGACUUUGAAAAGGAUCAAAAUAAUUUUUAAAUUAUACAAAAUAAAUUAAUUAUAUUUUUCGUUAUAUUUUGAAAUCAAAAAAUCUUUUUAACAUUAGCUUAAGAGACCUUAAAAAUUAACACUAAUAUAGUAAGCAACAUAACAAUAAUUUCGAUACCUAAGCUUGUGAACUAGAAUAUCAACCAAAUUUUAAUUCAAAUAUUAAUUUUUUUUUGUAGACACGACACAUUAAAAUGAAGAGACAAACUUGUCACCAUUAAACGUGUCCAUUUCUUCCUUUCUCUACAAAACAAACCUAUUUCCAAUAUUCACAUAAUUAAUUUAAUGUCUCUCUAUAUAUAUAUAAAAAAAAGGUUGGAUUCAUUUAAUAUCUUUAUAUCGACAUACUGCUCUUCAUGUCUAUAUAUAUAUAAAAAAAAAAGAGGGUGAUGGUGGAAUUUGUGGUACGUAACGUGUCAUUAUCAUUGUUAUCAAACUCUUGAGCGUAUUUAUAGCUUUUUCAGAUAAUUGUAGAAGUAUCUUUUAUUUUAAAGUAUAAAAAAAAUUAUAAAUAAUAUAUUUUGCAUAAUUAGUUUUCAAGACCUGAUAUUACUAAUUACAAAUUGCAUAAUAAAAUAUCUAUAUCAAUAAUAAUUUUGUUAAUAUGUGUAUUAAAUUAAAUAAUAAUAAAUAAAAUUAAACGAAGUGAGUAAAAAUAUAAAGAAAGAACGAGUAGUGACCAAAUAGGAAAGUAACAGACACGUGUAUCGAAUUGCAUACACGUGUAUUGAACUGCAUAAGCGGUGUUUUAGCAUUAAUUAUUAUUUUAUUGAUUUUUAAAGAUUAAUAUUAAAUAUCAUUUAGUAGUGUUGGUUUCGUAAAAAUAGUCAGUCGAUUUCUUUUCAGGUGUGUUAAAAAAGAAUUUAAAAUGUAAUAAAUAAAAGUGAACGAAGUUUUUUAUUGAACAUGAUAAUGAAGAAAAUUAUUAAUAAAUUAAUUAAUUGUACAAUUAAGAAGUCAUAUUGAUUAUAAAGAAAAAAAUAAAUUAAUUUUAUUCUAACUUAAUUAUUAAUUAAAUAAUAUAAAAAUAAUUUUUUUAAUAAAAUGUUCGUCUAAUAUAAAACGAAAAAUAUACUUAAGGGAGAAAGUUAAACAAAACUAAUUAAUCAAUACCUCCCUUCUUUCCAAUAAUAGAAGUCAUGAAACGCACGUCACAUUUAAUACUAUUUAAUACUUUUAGUUUCAUUUUAUAUUUUAUAUUUUAAUUAAAAAAUAAUUAAACUUUACUAUUUUAUUCUUAUUUUUAAUUUUUUUAAGUCAAUUUUAUGAUAAACCGUAAUUAUAUUUUAAAAUUAAUUAAUUAUUUUAUUAAAAAUAUAAUAUGUACAAUAUAAUAAUGUAUGCAUAAAUCACUUGUAUUUUAACUAUUUAUAGAAAGAGAUGACAUAUAAAUGCGACGUAGAGAGUAAUAAUUUACUACUAUUAUAGACUUAUUUAAUAGAGUAACUUUCAUAUUUAGCAAAUAGAAAAAUUAUAUUGUAUAUUAUAUCAAAAUUUGCGUAAUUGCGCUUCAUCGCAAACAUAAAUCUGUAUAAUUCGCUUUGCAUAUACAAAGAAAUCAAUUGUAUAAUUCGCUAUACAUAUACAAAAGAAAGCAGUUGUAUACUAAUCAAUUGUAUAAUUUGUGUAUAUAUAAAACGAAAAAGAGAGAAAGACAAAAGAAAAUUGGGCAGAAGAAUAUUAUUGUAUAACUAUAAGUGUAUAGUACGAAUAUAUAUAUAUAUAUAUAUAUAUAUAUAUAUAUAUAUAUAUAUAUAUAUAUAUAUAUAUAUAUAUAUAUAUAUAUAUGUAUAUGCAAUUUUAUUUCAUUUUGCACAAACAGAAACAUAAUUUAUGUAUUUCUUUUCUAUUUGUAUAAGCAACAGAGGCGAGGUGGUGAGCGAGAUCUGCAGAGAAGGGAGAAAGGCGAACGAAUAUAUAUAUAUACACACACAAUUUUUUCUCGCUUUAUACUAACAGAAACACAUUUUAUACACUUGUAUUUGCAUGAAAGUAAGAGAGAGACCGAGCCAGAGAUGGAGCGAGAGAGGAAGAGUGGUGAGCGAGAGUUUGACGGAGAAAGGUGUUGACAAACAGUUUGCUAAAGGCACAACUAAAUCAAAGAACAUUUAAUUUGAUUUAUUAGUUAGUCAUUAUAUAUAAUUUUCCAUUUAAUAUUAUCAUCAUCCACUUUUAAUUGUUAGAAUUUCCAUUUUAAGAAUCAAAAUAUAAGACUUUGACUAUUCCCUCCCUCCACAAUUGUUUGACAAACAUACUAAAAAGAGAAAAUUAUAUAUAAUGGUAAACUAAUAUAUCAAAUUAAUUGCUAUAACUAUCUUUUGAUUUAACUGUGCCCCGUAGCAACUGUUUGCCAGUCAACUUUCUCCCUCAAACUCUCGCUUCUCACUCUCCUCUCUCGCUCUAUCUCUCGCUCUCUUCCUCUAACUUUUAUACAAACACAAGUGUAUAAAAUUUAUUUCUAUUUGUAUAAAGUAGAGGAAAUUGUAUAAAUACAUAUGUUUUGUUCCACUCUUUCCCCUCUUCCAGAUCUCGCUCACCACCCUCGCCUCUCUCGCUUAUACAAACAGAAGAGAAAUGUAUAAAUUGUAAUUCUGUUUGUAUAAAGCGAGAGAAAAUGUAUAUACACAUGUAAAUACAUAUAUUUUCGUCCUAUAUACUUAUAAUUAUACAAUAAAGAUAGUCCCCUGCCCAGUUUUUUUUGCCUUUCUCUCUUUCUCGUUUUAUACAAAUUCAAAUUGUAUAUAAUUUCUCUCUUUCUCGUUUUAUACAACUCGAUUCAAUUGUAUAUUCCCUGCCUAAGUCUCUUUUGCCUUUCUCUCUUUCUCAUUUUAUACAAAUUCAAAUUGUAUAUAAUCGUUCUAUACACUUAUAAUUAUACAAUUCGUUUUAUACACUUUAUUUUUAUACAAUUCUCUGCCCAAGCCUCUUUUCCUUUCUCGUUUUAUACAUUGUGUAUUAUACAAUUCGCUACAAUUGUAUAUGUAUAGUGAAUUAUACAUUUAUAUGUUUGCUAUGGAGUGCAAUUAUGUAAACUUUGCUAUAACGUACAAAUAUAAAUUAUGUGUUUGCUAUAUGUGAAAGUUGUCCUACUAAAAAUAGAUGUAGAAGAUUAAUUGUCAAUUUAAACAAUUAAAAUAUAAUUAGUCACUUUUUUCCGAUUUUAUCCUUAAUAAUAGUGUAGUUCAACUGAAAAGGUAUGUAGAGUUUUAAUAUUCUUAAUAUGGUAGGGCUAUUUUAGUUAAAUUGCAUCUUGUAUUAAAUUUUUCUUUAGUUGUGUGGAUGACCUUAUCGUGACAAACAAUUAUAAAUGGAGGAAGUAAUAUUUUAUGAUAUACUUUUUCAAUACAAUAAUAUGUAAAAUUUAUAAUUUAUAAUACAUAUAAUCUUUAAUAUCAAAAUUUUAUUUGUUUAAAAUAUUAAAUUAAUAUUAUAAUUUAUUUAUUUAAUAUAUCAAAAUUAGUAUGCUCUUGCGGAAAAUACAAGCAAUAUUUUAUGAUAUUCUUGGAAAGGACAUGCCCUUGAUCUUUGUAAGAGCCUUGACUCCAUUAUUUAAUGUUUGCUAUGAUAACUCCAAGAUUGGAUGCAUGUGCAUUUCUUUUAAAAUAUAUAGUUCAUUUGUUCGAUAAAUGGCACUCCCCUUCGUGUCUUUUUAUGUAUAUACUUUUGAUAGUUUUUAUUUUUAAAAUAAAAUUAUAAAAAAAUUUAUUAAUAUUUUAUUAUAUAUUUUUAUCAUUUUUAUAUGUAAAAAAUUAUAAUUUAUAGUAUUUUAAUAUUUAAUUUUUUAUUUAAAAUAAAAUUAAUAUGAUUCAAUUUAUCUUUAAAAAUUAGUUAAAUUGUCUUUUGAUAAGCGCAACAUGACAAAUAUUUCUAGACGAAGAGAGUAUUAUUUUUUAAUAAUUAAUUAAUUAAUAAUGAAUAUUUGUUAUCUUAUAAAAUUAAUACAUAAAUUAUCAUAUUUUUUAUUAUUCGUGUGAAUUAUUAGUCUUAAGAAUAUAUACUUGAUCCACUUAGGAAAAUUAAAUAAAUAAUUCAUGUUUAUUGAUUAAAUUAAUUAAUUAAAUUUAUUAAUUAAAAACUUGAACUUUAAUAAAAUAAGAAUAUAAAAAUAAAAUUAUACCAUUUUUAUAUAUAAAUAUAAAGUAGAAAUAUAUAUAUAAAAAAAACUAAGAAAUAUUUGAACAAAUUUCAAUGUGAUAUGAGAGUGAUACACACCAAAUAAAGGAAGUAUAGUAAAGUAACUCGGAGCACAAAAAAAUCAAUGAAAGUUUUAAAUUGAAAAAAAGAAACGUGGGAACGCUCAAAUAUCAAUUAAUUAUCUUCUAUCUUAAUCGAUAAUUUUUUAAUUUUUUUAGUAAUUAGCCAAUAUUUAUUACUUUUUGAAAAUAACUAUUACCCCCUUGGUUCAUAUUAACCUGUUCAUAUAUUUUUUUAUAUAUUUAUUUUUAUUUAUUUAUUCAUUUUAAUAAAUUAAAAAAGAAUAAUAAUUUUUUAAUAUAUUUUUAUUUAAUUGUAGAAAAAUUUUAGUACUACUAAAUUGUAAUGCACAUUUUUUGGAACCAGAAAAUAUUUUUAUUUUAUUUGAGAGUUGCAUAAUCUUUUAAGUUAAAGGUGAAAUUAUAAUUAAUCUAUGAUAAUUAUUGAUAUCUUAAUAUUGUAUCACUACUUAAAUGAACAAUUAAAUAAUUACAAACAAAGAACUAACCAAUAUAACCAUUAAAGAGAUAAAUAUUUCUUCAUUUUUAAUUAAAAAAUUUCAAUUUUAAGUUUUCUUGGUACAAAAAUGCCUUUGUCAGAAAGCAUAUUACCUUCCUACCCCCAAUAUUGAAUCCAUUUAAUGCAUUAUUAAACAUAACAAAAAACCUAAUAACAUAUUCAGUAUAAUUUCAGUAAGCGAGAUCGAGAGAGGGGGAGAGAAGCGAGCGAGAUCGAGAGAGGGGGAGAGAAGCGAGCGAGAGAGUGGGAGAGAGGUGAAUUGCAUAUGUAUAUAAUUGUAUAUUAUACAUAUACAUUUGUAUAUAGGGCAAGCGAGAUUGAGAGAGGGAGGUGAGAGGCGAGCGAGAGAGGGGAGAGAGUGGGACAGAGGUGAAUUGUUAAUGUAUAUAGGUUAAACAAUUGUAUAUUAUACAUGUUAGAACAAAUGAACAAGAAUGAUAAAAUUACAAGGAAUACAAAAUAAAACUUGCUUGGCUUAGAGGCACGUUAAUACGUUUGUUGAAGAUAGUUGGAGUCUCUCCCACGAGCAAUCGGAAGAAUAAAUAACAACUCUAUCUUCGGGAUUCAACUAAGCCACAAAACAAGUAGCAUUCAAGAAUGUUGCUCUUCUAUUCUUGAAUUAGUGAUUUCACCUUUUGAUCAAUGUCUCACAAGUGUUUUCAAGGGAAAAUACUUUUGUUUGAAUGCUUUCUUUUUCAACCAAAGGAAACUCAAUUUAUAGGAUAAAAAGUUUUGCAAGAAAAAGAUUUUUAAUUAAUAGAAUUUAUUAGGUUCAUAAAUUGGAAACAAAAAAUUUGUCUUUCAAAAACCCAUAACGUAGAAUUAAAAAAAAAAACGUCUUGCAAAUGUUUAUAACAAAGAAUUAAAAUAAAUGAAUGUUACAACUCACAUUCAUGUAUUUGUUAUUUCAAAACGGAUGAAUUUGUUUCAAAAUUAAUUGAAACACUAACUCUUACAAUACAUAUGUAUUUGUAUAUUCUGGCGAAUUAUACAUAGACAAACGUGACUAAUUACACAAACUCGAAGUCAGUCCACGUAAUUAAUGUAUAAUGUUAGUCGCGAGUGAUAAUUAUAACAAACUAUAGCUAUAAUAAGUAAUUAAAUAGUAUAAAUUUAUUUUAUUGCGUAAUUUUUUCAAAAAUGAUAUCUCAAGUCUAUUAAAGGAAGUAUAACUCUUUUAUUAUAUUUUUUAUUUGUUUCAAUAUUUUGCAGCACCAGCAUAGUUGGAUGGACGUUCAUGUUGUGCAUUGGUUUUAAUGCAGCAAUAAGGUUUGGUUUGUUUGUGUAGAAUUUUUUUAUUUUUAAUAUUCAAGUAACGUAAAAUUUGAUUAAUAUAUAAAAUAUAUUUUGAUCAAGUUGAUACGAGAGGAAUUAUAAUUUAAAUAGGCCUUUUAUUGAAUAUAUAAAUUUUUAUUUUAGAAUAUCACUACUUAAUACUUACUCCUAUUUAUAUUUAUGCAUCGCCCUUCCUAAAAAAACAUUAAUUUACCUAAUUUAGUCUUGAAAAUUACUCCUUAGUCUUGAAAAUCUGUUUUGACCAAUAUAGAAAAACUAAAUGAUUAAUUCACGUCCAUUGGUCUAUGUAAUUAAUCAAAUAAAUUAAUUUAUGCUUAUUUAUUGAAAACUUGACUUCAAGAGGUCAAUAAAUAAGGGUACAAUGGUAAACUUACCUCGUUUUUUAAGGAGUGUGAGACCAAAAAUGAUACUCCCUCUAUCGAACAAUAGUUGUCCACUAUUGACUAGACACACCGCUUAAUAAACUAUAAAUAGAAGAACAAUUUUACUAUAUAACCCUUUGAAUAUAUUAAAUACAAUGCAUUGAAAUAUGUAAUAGUGAAAUGACUAUAAUUAAUGGUAAGGGUAAAUUAGGAAGUAAGUAUAAAUAUAUUCAUUGAUUCAUUAAGUGGAAAAGUAUUGUUGGACAUCCUAAAAUAAUAUAGUGGACAACUAUUAUUGGACAGAAGGAGUAACAUACAAAUAGAAAUGGAGAAGGACUAUUUUUUCAUUGAAAAAUGUGUAGUGACUAUUCAACAUAUAUUUUGAUUGAAUCAGUAGGAAAAAAAAUAAUAUUUUCAUAUGGAGAAUUAGAAGUUUCUCUAUAUUUCAGUGAGAACUACUUUUCACCAAGUAUUUUUUUAGAGAACUAAUUUGAUGAGGUGGAGAAAUUAUAGCUCAUAGCACAAAUUAUUCAUUGAUUUGCGCUAGAAAAAACUUUUGUUUCUAAUAGUGACGAUUAUGAAUGGAACAAAGUAAGAGAAAAGGGUCUGAUAUAUCCCUCAACUUUGUCAUUUAGAGCUGAUAUAUCCCUCGUUAUAAAAGUGGCUCAUAUAUGCCCUUACCGUUAUACAAACGGCUCACAUAUACCCCUGCCGUUACAAAAUGGCUCACAUAUACCCUUCAUUUAAUGGAAAUUAAAAAAUUAGUUUUAAAUUUAUAUUUGUUACUUCUAAUUUUUUUAAAAAAAUUAUUUAGGGAUAUAUAUGAUUCUUUUAUCAAAGUUCAAGGCAUAUUUUAAUUUUUUUCAUACAUAAAUUAUUUUUUGACUUCUUUUAUUAUAAUUAUUUGAGUUUCUUAUUCUUAUUUUGUUUUUUCUUUCAUUCCUUAGUUUAAAGAAAAAAAAUUUAAACUAUUUUUUUGUGUGUAUUGUAAUUUAAUUUCGUAUUCGAAGAAAAAAUUUGGUCAUCUAUAAUAAGUUUUACAAGAAUAUUAGUGAAACAUAAAUAAAUUUUAUUCUCAAAAUAAUAAUUAUAAAUUAGUCAUUAAAAUAAAAAAAAAAGUCAAAAAAAAUAUGUUUGACAAAGUUUUAAAUUUACUCAUAUGAGAUUAUAUUUUUUAGAGGUUAGUCUAACGGAGUUCACGGGGGAAAGUAAAAGCAUUCAAGUAUGGUAUUCAACUAUCUAGCUUAAUGUAGCCAUUGUUUUAAGCGCCAACGCCAUGCCUUUAAGCAGAACUGUAUUUGACCGCCCUGAUCUAAUGCAAGUAAGAACUUCCUAUGGGUUUCAGCUUUUUUUGGUUUACGCCUUUUCUCUUGCAAUAUAAUUAACUUGCUAUUUGCAAGUAUGUGAAUAAAUUAAACAAAACUUAUCCAAGAUGAUAAAAGCAGCAAGCAAAUUGCUUUCUUGUGAUGAAAAAGUACUGAAAUAAGAUGCUUUGAGAUCACACUAGUUAAGGCGAAAUGAAUGAUGAGAUUCUUAUUUGUUUGUAUGUAAAAAAAUUAACCUCAAUUCUACUAUUUUCCACAUGCAUGAUAUAUAACCAAUUUGUUUAUUCGAUUGUAAAUUGUUCUACUAGUUUAUCUGUUUACUUUCUUGAAUAAUAACGCGGACCAAAUAGAGAUUCAGUCUCAGAAAAUAAGACUUGUGCUAACCAUAAGCAGUGCAGCUAUAACAUUGAACAUGCUUCACUCGCAGGGAAGCAAUAAUGAAGGCACUAAGAAUAACAGAGGUACAAGCUACAACUGUAUUUUUUUUCCACCCCCAGUCUAGGAGGAUUAUUAGUACUUCCAUGUACCAUCCACAUGACUCGAACACCCAACCUACCUGUUGGAAAUGAAGGUGUUGUACAAGCUAAGCAAGCUUCAUGGUCAAUUAUAAACUCUCUUCAUAAUUGCUAAUAUUGACAGGAAACAUCUAAACAAAAACAAAAGCACAACGGUAGAACUAAGCAACUAUCUACCUUGUGGAUUUACAAUUUGUGAGAAGACAGUGUCCGUGCUGUCCUCUGCUGACUCCUUACCUUCUUCUGCAACCGUUAACAACUCUUUAUGCAUAGCAUAGGCAUCAUUAGCUUUCUGUUCCGCCACCAUUUUUGGUUCAUCGGGAUCACUUUGCAACUGAAGGCAGUACUCAAGAUUCCACAGCACUGAACCCAUUGAAGGACGAUCAGUUCCGUGAUCAGACAAACAACUCACUGCUGUAUCGAUGAAUUGCUUCAGACAUUCUUCUAUAAUCUCCCCUUUAAUAUGUGGAUCCAUAAGUUCCAUGGUAGUAUUUUUCCUAUGGCAGUGUAAUGCCCAAUCUGCUAGACUGACUUGUUCCUUUGGAAGACUAGCAUUUAGAGCUGGCCUUCCAGACAACACUUCAAAUAGGACAACCCCAAAAGAGUAGACAUCAGACUUUUCUGUCAGUUGCUGUCUUCUGAAAUACUCUGGAUCCAAGUAUCCAAAACUUCCUUUCACCAUUGUACUAACAUGAGUUUGUUGGAGAUUAGGUCCGGUUUUCGAAAGCCCAAAAUCAGAAACUUUCGCCACCCACUUGUCAUCCACCAAAAUGUUUGUAGUUUUCACAUCCCUAUGGAUGAUAGUGUACCUUGCACCAGUGUGAAGAUAGUGAAGACCUCUGGCUGCACCAAUACAAAUAUCCAACCUUUGCUUCCAUGACAAAGGUGGCUUGUUGUGCUUGUAAAGGUGCUCUCUCAAUGUCCCGUUAGCCAUGUAAUCAUAGACUAAUAUCAUCUCAUCAUUUUCUUCACAAGCCCCAAUCAGUGAGACUAAAUGUCUAUGUCUAAGUUUUGAAAGCAAUUCUAUCUCAGUUUGGAACUCAUGAAGACCUUGUUCAGAAGAAGGGUUUGCUCUCUUAAUAGCAACCAUAGUCCCUCCAUCAAUCUCUCCUCUAUAUACUUUACCAAAUCCUCCAACUCCAAUAACUCGUGACUCGUCAAAAUUCUUUGUACCUUGUUUUAUCUCAGCUAAGGUGAAGUACCUACAAAGGCCUCCACCAAUGUUGGAAAUGUGACUACUGCCACUGCUUUUACCUGAGAUAAUUGUUCUAGUUUCUGUACUCCUAGAACUAUAAAUAGGUAACCAACCACCUCUGCUAGACUUAUUCCCUCCAUUGUUUAUAUUCUUCCUUCGCUUGACACAAGCAAGUACAACAACAACGAUACUAAGUCCAGCUGUCAUUCCUGCCACCGAACCAACUAUUAUGCCUUUCUUGCUAGUUUUGUUUGAUGCAAAUGCUGGUUUUGACUGAGAAUCAGUGUCUGCAGCUGCUAGGGGUGGUGAUGGCACAGGAUUAGGCCCUGCCAAAUUCCCCUUUGUAUCGUUGAUCUUAAAAAUCUCUAAUCCAUUGAGGAUUGCAUCAUAAAAUUGGGCCUUCGUCUCAUCAGUAGGAUGUAAAGCUACCCACAUAUCAUCAUCACCAGUUUGAUAUAUUACAAAGUCCUUGUAUGCUGGCACAUUUUGAGCAGAAGACCACCCAAUCACAUCAGCUUCUUCUAAAGCAGUCUGAUUAUUAAGAAAUACCUUAAACACCCUCUGAUUCAUCCUUUUCAUUUGAAAAUCACAGAAAUGUAACCUCACAAGAUAAGUAAAAUUUGUAUCAACUUGGAAGAUCCAAGUCAGAUUAUAAUUCCUAUUAACAUCAGCAUUUGGCCCCAUCGUUCGUGCUGUCCUAUAAACAUCCUCUGGAGCAAUGUAAUUAGUCAAAUUAGAAGGAUAUGAAAUUUUCAUACUAUUAUUAGCUGCAGACGUGAUACCAAAAGAUGCGCCAAACAAAUAUGGCGCGUCAUCAUACCAUAUUCUCCCUAAGCUCGAGUCAUUAUUAGCUGGAAUAUACUGUCCACCAACAUUUAACCUGAACAUAGUUUGCAUAGAAGAAGCUUGUGUUUCCGUAGUCUGAUCUGAGAACCCCACCAUAGGCGCGGGUUCAAAUAUUUCAGGCAUUGAAACAAUCUCAAUCCCAUUGAUAAACGCAAAUGAGUCAUUAUACGCGGAAGAAGGGGUAAAUGUUAUGUUAAGUGUAGAAGUUUGGAGAGGUACAAGAGUGAAUUCUCUUAUGAUAUAAGCCUGUGUUAGUGCUUGUGCUGUGAUUGAAGCACUAAAGUUGUUUAGAAGAGUAAAACCGGCAAUAUUUACAGAAAAGAAUGAACUGGAACAAUUGAAAUUGUCAUAGGAAGAGGGAUAAAAAUGAAGUCUAAUCCAAUGACGAGAUUUCGGAGAAACAGGGAAGGAAUAAGUGGUUUGAUUCUUGAAAAUUCUAGCAGUCAUAUAAGGAAUAUCAGAAAUCAAUGAAGGGUCUUGAUAUUUAGCUUUAGAUGUGAUUGAAUUACCAGAAGAUGAAGGGAAAUAUGUAGAAUCUGGACUCCAAAUCCUUCCAUCUGCAUCUGUGGCAUUACUUGUAGCUCCACAAGACAAAACAAAAGAAUAAGAAUUGGUAACAUUUGUUAAUGAAUAUACCUUGCUUAAGAGGGAACAAAAUGUGGUUAUGAUAACCAAAAAUGUGUAAAAUUUCAUUGUUGAUUAUCAAAGUAGAUGCAAUAGAUAGAUAUUCAACAUAUAAUGGCUACUUUAUUAGCCAUUAAGUUUAACAAAGUCUCACACCUUUAAUGCAUUUCAUCCAUGGAUAAGGGAUAAAAAGCAUAGAAAAAUGGAGAUUCAAAACUAAGAUUUCUUUUUUUUCCUAUAAUGAAAUCUUUCUUCUUUUGUUACUUUGUGUUUUUCUUUGAAUGAGUAUUUGGAUUGAGAAACGUUACAUACGGUAAGUUAGUGGUAAGAGAUGUUUAGGUAACGUUUCCCUCUAUAUUUAUUGAUCUAUUAAAUAGGGGCCAUUAAAUUUCAUUAAUUUAGUCACUGUUUAUGUCACACUUUUUUUUUUGCCCUAAUCGAGUGGUAGUCUCUAAAAUUGACACUAAUUUUCACUUAGAUAUUUAAAUUAAAUUUAUAUCAUUUUAGACACCUUAUAUCAUGCUUUGGUGUGUGUUUUGAUAUAUAUAUAUAUAUAUAUAAUCAGCCAAAUAUGUAAGAUGUGUGUAAUACAUUGGCCAAUAAUGUGUCAAAAUGAUGAAUUAAAUAAAGACACGUAAAAUAUAUAUUUGAAAUAUUUUUAAAUAAUGAAUUUUAAUUUUUUUUUAAAAAAGAUCAAUAACUUAGUAACAGGUGACAAUAUUUAUCCAAGCACCAUGUACAAGCCCAUCCUAUGUUGUCUUCUCCACCUUCCCCCACCCCUUCCCCCACCAAAUUGUCUUCUCCACAGUCCACAACCCCUACGCCUCCCACACUCAAAGCAUCUUCUACACCACCUCCAACCCCAUAACCCCAACCUCUCCCCAAUUUAGAUUGUCUUUCUCCAAUAUAUUUUAAUUUCAUAGUAAUAUAAUUAUUUGAAAAGAAUUAUUUUCCCAAAAGCACAAUUUCUUUGCAAACAUUGAUUUGUCUUACUUAUAACGUCAAAUAAAACCAAAUUAUUCAAAUUUAAACAAAGAGUUCCCUAAAAUAAUUUUCUAGAUUUUCUUUUUAAAAAAUAUAUUUUGAUUCUUUUCAAAACAUUUCAAGGAGGAAGAAUCGCAAAAAAAAAAAAGUAAUGUCGUUUGAGCUUUAAUCUCUUGGUGUUAUAACACUAUUAGAUAUAUUUCUUCAUGGAAGGAGUUUAAGUUUUGAAAAUGGUGGUUAAAUUGGAGAAGAAGAAGAAAAAAAUAUAAAGAAAAUAGGUUAUGCAUAAGCGCUCCACACGCUAGUAAGAAGUGAAUCACACUCGCUAUGUCAUGUCAGCGAAAAGUGUCAAAAUGUAAUCGAUACUUAUGCUUUGUGAACUAGAAUAUCAACCAAAUUUUAAUUCAAAUAUAAAAUAUUAUUUUUAGACACGACACAUUAAAAUGAAGAGACAAACUUGUCACCAUUAAACAAACCUAUUUCCAAUAUUCACAUACUAAAUUUAAUGUCUAUAUUUAUUAUAAUAAUAAAAAAAAAGGUUGGAUUCAUUUAAUAUCUUUAUAUCGCUGACAUACUAAUCUUCAUGUCUAUCUAUACAAAAAAAAAAAGAAAAAAGAAGAGGGUGAUGGUGGAAUUUGUGGUACGUAACGUGUCAUUAUCAUUGUUACUAAACUCUUGAGCAUAUUUAUAACCUAAAAUAAUCGUAGAAAUAUUUUUUAUCUCAAAAUAUAAAUAAUAUAUUUUGCAUAAUUAGAUAUUCAAUUAAGUUUUUGAAACCUGAUAUUACAAAUUACAAAUUGCAUAAUAAAAUAUUUAUAUCAAUAAUAAUUUUAUUGAUAUGUAUAUUAAAUAAAAUAAUAAUAAAUAAAAUUAAAGGGAGUGAGUAAAAAAAUAAAGAAAGAACGAGUAGUGACCAAAUAGGAAAGUAACAGACACGUGUAUCGAAUUGCAUACACGUGUAUUGAACUGCAUAAACGGUGUUUUAGCAUUAAUUAUUAUUUUAUUAAUUUUUAAAGAUUAAUAUUAAAUAUCAUUUAGUAGAGUUGGUUUUGUAAAAAUAGUCUAGUGAAUUUCUUGUCAGGUGUGUUGAAAAAGAAUUUAAAAUGAAUAAAAGUGAACGAAUUUUUUUAUUUAACAUGAUAAUGAAGAAAAUUAUUAAUAAAUUAAUUUUACAACUAAAAAGUCAUAUUGACUAUAAAGUAAAACAGGAAAUUAAAUUAAUUUCAUUCUAACUUAAUUAUUGAUUAAAUAAUAUAAAAAAAAAAUUUAAUAAAGUGUUCGUCUAAUAUAAAACGAAAAAAGAAAACGUAAGUGAGAAAGUUAAACAAAACUAAAUUGAAACGCACGUAACAUUAAUACUUUUAGUUUCAUUUUAUAUUUCAUAUUUUAAUUAAAAAAUAAUGGAACUUUACUGUUUUAUUUUUAUUUUGUUUUUUAAGUCAAUUUUACGAUAAAAGAUAAAGGUAUAAUAUGUAAAAUAUAGUGAUACAUGCAUAAAUUUUAUAAUAUGACAAGUAUUAUAAUUCAAUUAUUUAUAAAAGAGAUGACAUGUAAAAUGCGACGUAAAGAGUAAUAAUUUACUAUUAUUAUAGACUUAUUCAAAAGAGUAAUUUUCACAUUUACCAAAUAAAAAAUUUAUAUUUGUAUAUUAUAGCAAAAUCCGCAUAAUUGUGAUUCAUAGCAAACAUAAAUAUGUAUAAUUCACUAUGCAUAUACAAAGGAAUCAAUUGUAUAAUUUGCUAUACAUGUAUAAAAGAAAGCAGUUGUAUACUAAUCAAUUGUAUAAUUUGUGUAUAUAUAUAAAACGAGAAAGAGAGAAAUACAAAAAAAAAUUGGGCAGAAGAAUAUUAUUGUAUAACUAUAAGUGUAUACAUGAUGAAGAUAUACGUAUUUGCAUGUGUAUAUGCAAUUUUAUCUCGUUUUACACAAUCAGAAACACAAUUUAUGCGUUUCGUUUCUGUUUGUAUAAGCGAUAGAGGCGAAGUGGUGAGCGCGAUCUGAAGAGAGGAGAGAAAGGCGAACAUAUAUAUAUAUAUAUAUAUAUAUAUAUAUAUAUACACACACACACACACACACACACUUUGAUUUAGUUACGCCUUUAGCAAAUUGUUUGUCAGGACCUCUGUCCGUCAAACUCUUGCUCACCACUUUCCGUCUCUCACUCCAUCUCUGGCUUGGUCUCUCUCUUACUUUUUUUCAAUUUUACCCUUAAUGAUAGUGUAGUUCAACUGAAAAGUUAUAUAGAAAUUUGAUAUUCUUGAUAUGGUAGGGCUAUCUUAGUCAAAUUGCACCUUCUAUUAAAUUUUUCUUUAGCGAUGUGCAUGAUCUUAUCAUGACAAACAAUUAUAAACAGAAAAAAUAAUUUUUUAUAAUGUACUUUUUCAACACAAUAAUAUGUAAAAAUUUAUAAUUUAUAAUACUUUUUAUAUAACCUUUAAUAUCAAAACUUUAUUUGUGUAAAAUAUUAAAAUUAAUAUUUUAAUUUAUUUAUUUAAAAUAUCAAAAUUAGUAUGCUCUAAUUCUAAAUAUAAUAUAAAUAAAAAAUAAGCAAUUAAAGCGGAACAAUACAAGCAAUAAUUUAUGAUAUUCUUGGAAAGGACAUGCCCUUGAUCUUUUUAAGAGCCUUGACUCCAUUAUUUAAUGUUUGCUAUGAUAACUCCAAGAUUGGAUCCAUGUGCAUUUCUUUUAAAAUAUAUAGUUCAUUUGUUCGAUAAAUGGUACUCCCCUUCGUGUCUUUUUAUAUAUAAUCUUUCUGUUCGAUAUUAUUUAUUAUGAUUUUUAUUUUUAAAGUUAAAUUAUAGAAAAUUAACUAACAUUUUAUGAUUCAUUUUUUAAUAUAUUUAUAUAUAAAAAAUUAUAAUUUAUAGUACUUUUCAUAUAGUUUUAGAAUAUCUAAUUUCAUGUUUAAAAUACAAAUUAAUAUGAUUCAAUUUAUCUUUAAAAAUUAGUCAAAUUAACUUUCGAUAAACGCAAUAUGAAAAAUAUUUCUAGACGAAGCGAGUAUUAUUUUUGUAAUAAAUAAUUGAUUUGUUAUUUUAUAUAAUUAAUACAUAAUUUAUCAUAUUUUUUAUCAUGCAUGUGAACUAUUAAUCUUAAGAAUAUAUAAUUGAUGAACUUAGGAAAGUUAAGUAAAUAAUUCGUAUUUAUUGAUUAAAUUAAUUAAUUAAAAUAAAUAAGUUAAUAUUUAUUAAUUGAAAACUUAAAUUCCAAUAAAAUUAAAUAAGAAUAUAAAAAUAAAAUUAUAUUAUUUCUUAAUAAAAAUAUAAAGUAAAAAUAUAAAAAAACUUAAAGGAAUAUUUUGAACAAAAUUCAAUGUGAAAUGAGAGUGAUACACGACAAAUAACGGAAGUAUAGUAAAGUAACUCAGAGCACAAAAAACAUCAAUGAAAGUUGAAAUUGAAAAAAAAAGAAACGUGGGAACGCUCAAAUAUCAAUUAAUUCUCUUCGAUCUUAAUUAGGGGUGUGCAUCGGUUGGUUCGGUUCGAUUUUACAUAUAAUCAAUUUGAUUUAUUGGUUUUCGAUUUUAAAAUAUGCUAACCCAAUAACAAAUCAAUAAGAAACUUUUUAUUGAUUUAUCAGUUUAUCGAUUUUUGAUGUUAUCGGUUCGAUUUCGGUUAACCCAAUAAAAAAAUGUCGAUUAAAUAAUAUAUAAUAGUACGGAUGUUAUAAUUACAUGUUACCAACUUACCGCCAAAACAUAAUAGAAAACUUUGAAUGCUUAUCAAAUUACUAAUAUUCACAAACUUGCAAAGCUAUCGCCUACAAUUACCAACUAGAAUUAAAACUAAAAUAAAAUAUUUCAAUGAGACAAUCUUGAACAGUUGUUUGAUCCACCAGAUAAUCAACAAAGUUCUCACCAAUUUCCAAAUCAAAAAAUCACAUAGCCUGAAAAGCUAAUAUUGAAUCUGUUUAUGUAUUAAAUUAUGCAUAUUUAAUAUUGAGGAAGGGUAAGUAGUAAAUAAAUAUCGUCUUAUUGGGUUAUCGGUUUACCCAAUAACCCAAAAAUUAUUUUUUCUAAACCCAUUAAAAACCCAAUAACUCAAUUACCCAAUAACAUUUUAUCGAUUUGAUUUAUUGGUCGAUUCGAUUUUUGCACACCCCUAAUCUUAAUCCAUAAUUUCUUAAAUUUUCUAUGGUAAUUAGCCAAUAUUUAUUACUUUUUGCAAAUAAGUAUUACUUUUUGUUCAUAUUUACUUGUUUAUAAUUUUUUUUAAUCUUUUUGUCUAUUUUAAUAAAUUAAAAAAGAAUAAUAAUUUUUUUUCUAAUAUAUAUUUAUUUACUUCAAGAAAAAUUCUAGUACUACUAAAUUGUAAUGCAUGAUUUUUGAAAUCAGAAAGUAUAUUUAUUAUAUUUGGGAGUUACAUAAUUUUUUAAGUUAAGAUUGAAUUAUAAUUAAUCUAUGAUAAUUAUUAGUAUCUUAAUAUGUGUAUCACUUUUAAAAUAAACAAUUACAUAAGUACAUAGAGAGUACUAACCAAUAUGACGGUUAAAGUGGUAAGUACUCUUUUAUUUUUAAUAAAAAAAAUCUUGAUUUUAAGUUUUUUCUUGGUACAAAAAUGCCUUUGUUAGAAAACAAUUUACUUUUGUACCCUUAACAUUGAAUCCAUUUAAUACAUUAUUAAAAAUAACAUAAAAACUAACAAUAACAUAUUCGGUAUAAUUUCACAAGCGAUAUACUAGAAAAAUAAGAUAUUGGCAUAUCUUGCCUUAUUAGCAUCUACACCAUUCAACUAAAGAAUAGAAAAGUAGUUUAGAAAACAAAAAUUGAAGUACUCACCAACUAAUUAAGCACAUCCUUGUAGUGAAAUGGAGGAAGAUUAUAACUAUUUGCCUUCUUUUAAUUCUGAGGAUGAUAUGCAAAGUAUUGAUGGACUUAAAACUUUUUUCCAUGAAUUCUACAUUGAAUCAAAGAAGUUAUGGAGUCUUGCUUCUCCAGCAAUUUCAACUUCAAUAUGUCAAUAUUCAAUUGCUCAAAUCACACAACUCUUUGCUGGCCAUCUUGGAGUCUUACAACUUGCUGCUGUUUCUGUAGAAAACUCUGUGAUUGCUGGACUAUGUUACGGUGCUUUGGUAAAUCUAUUACGUCCUUCGUUUUAAUUUAUGUGUUUGGCUUAUUUUUCUUUUUAAUCUGGUAUUUCAUAAGGAGUGUUUCUUUUCGUAUUUAGUGAGUUUCUUUUUUUUUCCUUUCGUCUCAAUUUAAGUGUUUAAUUUUAUUUCUCUUUUUGAUCUUGUGUAUCUCAAAAUGAGUGUUUUUUUUUUUUGGUAUUUACUGAGUUUUUAUGGUCCUUUUGAUAAUCUAUAUUGUUUUCUUCAUCUCAAUUUAAGUGUUUUAAUUUUAUUUCUCUUUUUAAUCUUGUUUAUCUCAUAAUGAGUGUUUUUUUUUUUUUGGAUUUAGUGAAUUUUUAUGGUGCUUUUAUAAUUCGUUACUCCUUUUGUUUUAAUUUAAUUGUUUUAUUUUUCUUUAUAAUUUGUUUGUCUCAUAAGGAAUGUAUUUAUGUAUUUAGCGAGUUUUUUUUUUAAAGAAAAUCUAUUCUUCCGAAUUACUUGAUCCUUUUCAUUACGAAACAUAGCUAUAGUUUACGUAUAUAUGAAAUAUAUUAGUCAUUACAUCAAGAAGAGGGGAUGUAUUAGGUCUGUAAUAGCAUAGUGAGGAACCAAACAGGGGAGGAGCUAUCCUAGUUCAAGGGGUGUCAAAGUUAGACAUUCUUUUCAUCCAAAAAUUUAUUUUAUUUUAAUUAAUUUUUUUAAAUAUGUUUUAAAAAAUUGACCUUUUUAUUAUUUAGCAACUCUUUAAUAUUAAUUGUUUCAAUUUGUUUUAUCUAUGUUUUUUUGGUAUAUUUAAAAAAGAAUAAUUAUUUUAUUUUUUAGCAGCUCUUUAAUUUCAACUUGUCAUAUCACAUGUUUAAAAUUAUAAAAUUAAAUAUUAGUAUUUGGUAUAUUUAACAUAUCUUUAAGUCUAAAUCACAAAUUUCAAAAAUCUUAAUUGCUUCCUUAAAGUCUACGUCACGUCAAAAUAAGUCAAAUAAUUGAACAUGGGGAAUAUUAUAUAGACAGGUCAAAGUUUGAUUUUUUUUAUCAGUCUUAGUAUCUCUUAGCACAAGUUGAAGAUCUGUGCAAAUGUUAAUUAAAGGUCAUAAUACAUAUAUUGAAUUCUAAACUUAGUUUGAAAUUUUAAUUUUGACUUACCACUUUCAUAAUGCACAAACAGACACUUUAGCUAUCCAACUUUUAAAUAAAUAAACACAUGAUCCUCUACAUGGCAAAAUACACGUAGAUAUCAUGUAAGACAAAAAAUGACAUGUAGGACAUGUGUGUUUAUUUGUUCAACUUUAUACAAGUUUAAGUGUCUACUUGUGCAAUGUAAUUUGAAGCCAAGUUAAUAGGCAUAUUAUGUAUUAUGCCUAAUUAAAGUAUUACAAAAGUUGUGUGUUUGAUAUUAACUAACAACAUAAUUAUAAUAUUUUGAUAUUCCUUAGUGAAAAUUUUAGCGCUCUCUCUCUCUGAUUGAUAGCGAAUAUCAGUUGAAAAUGUGCGGAAAUAAGUAUAUCAUCAUGUGUGUACUAUUACAAUAUAUGAUGUUUUUGCUAUCAUUAGUGUUAAAAAAUCUUAUGAAAAAUAUUUGAUCUUUUUUCGAACAGUUAGGAAUGGGAAGUGCAUUAGAAACACUUUGUGGACAAGCAUAUGGAGCUAAACAAUUGGACAUGUUAGGUGUCUAUUUGCAAAGAUCUUUGAUUAUACUCAAUACAGCAGCAUUAGUGUUAAUGUUUCUCUACUUAUUUGCAACUCAAAUUCUACUAUUCAUUGGCCAGCCUAUGGACAUAGCAAAAUGGGCUGGUAAAUUUUCUAUUUGGAUGAUACCUCAACUAUUUGCCUAUGCAAUGAACUUCCCUAUUCAAAAAUUUCUUCAAGCCCAAAGCAAGAUGAUGGUUAUGGCCGUUAUAGCCGCGAUCGCGCUAGUUGGACAUACCUUGUUGAGUUGGCUGUUCAUGAUGAAAAUGGAUUUGGGGCUAGUGGCUGGAGCUGUAGUGCUAAAUGGUUCAUGGUGGUUCAUGGUACUUGCUCAAUUUGUUUACAUUUUAUGUGGGACUUGUGGUGAAGCUUGGUCUGGAUUUACUUUCAAGGCAUUUGAAAAUCUUUGGGGAUUUGUUAGGUUGUCUCUUGCAUCUGGUGUCAUGAUCUGGUGAGUCUUUCUAUCAAUUUUUAUGACGUGGCGUCAUGAAAUAUUUCUCGUGUUUUACAUUUUUUUAAAAAUUAAAUUAUAUGAAUUUUAAAUAAUAUUUUAAUUAAGAUACACAUUUUAUUGAUUGUCUGAGUUUAUGUAACGUCUUUCGUAAUCAGUCUUAAAAAAAUGAUAUAAUUUUAUUUUUAGUAAUAAUUUUAACUUUAAAUGACUAAUUUACCACCUUAAUGAAAUACUUCGUCUAUUCUUAUUUACCUGACGUCCUUACUAAAAGUUUGCAUGCAAUUACUUGCUAUUAAUUAGUAACAAAUAUUAAUUCUUUUAAGAAAUUGUUAAUUGUGUAGCUUAGAGUACUGGUACUUCAUGGCUUUGAUUAUCUCUGCUGGAUACGUAAAGGAUGCAAAAAUUGCUGUUGACGCCGUCUCCAUAUGGUGAGUUUACGCUGAUCUGAAAUUAUGAUUUUAUAUCGCAUGUUUAAACACAAGCUUAGUCGCCACAAACCUUAUUUGUUUCAAUGUUUUGCAGCACCAGCAUAGUUGGAUGGACCUUCAUGUUGUGCAUUGGUUUUAAUGCAGCAAUAAGGUUUGUUUGUGUAGCAUUUUUUAAUUUUUUGAUAUUCAAGUAACGUAAAAUUUGAUUGAUACUAUAAAAUAUAUUUUGAUCAAUUUGAUAGAGAGGCUUUUUAUUAGAAUAUAUAAUCUUUUAUUUUAACUUAGCUAGUUUCUUAAAGUAAUAAACCUGAACAAAAUGAAUUUGUUGUUUCUGGUUGCAGUGUAAGGGUGUCAAAUGAACUAGGAGCAGGGCACCCCAGAACAGCAAAAUUUUCAGUCCUAGUGGUAUCAAUUACUUCACUUUUAAUUGGUACGAUACUUACGAUAGCACUUUUUGUUGCUCGGAGUCGAUAUCCACCUUUGUUUACGAAAAGCUUUGAAGUUCAGCAAGCCGUGUAUGAAUUUACUCCUCUAUUAGGAACUACAAUUAUGCUUAACGGUCUUCAACCUACUCUUUCAGGUAUAUUUUUAUCUAGGGAUAAUGCACAAGUACCCCCUUAACCUAUGCCCGAAAUCUCAGAGACACACUUAUACUAUACUAAGGUCCUAUUACCUCCCUGAACUUAUUUUAUAAGUAAUUUUCUACUCCUUUUUAGCCUACGUGGCACUGGUUUGGAACAAAAAGUCAACCAUCGUUGGACCCACAAGAUAGUGCCACGUAGGUCGAAAAGGGGUAAAAAAUUAUUAAUAAAAUAAUUUCAGGGGUAAUAGGACCUUAGUAUAGUAUAAGUGUGUCUGUGAGAUUUCGGGCAUAGGUUGAGGGGGUACUUGGACAUUAUCCCUUUUAUCUAUCUCAAAUUACAUAUUAUAUUUUAUGGGUCAGUUCAUUAAAAGGAUAAAUUGUACGAUUAAAUGAUAUAUUUAUAUGCUUUGGAGUUGCAAUUUAAAAUUAAAAUUUUACAUAAAUAACACCCAUCAAAAUAAUAGCCGAUAAAUGUAUAUUAAUACCAAUAAUGGAGCAACAAUUACAGGUGUGGCUAUUGGAGCAGGUUGGCAAAUAUAUGUAGCUUACAUUAACAUAGUAAGCUACUAUGCAUUUGGUAUUCCUUUGGGCCUUAUUUUUAGCUUUUGCCUCGACAUGGGUGUUAAGGUAUUGUAAUCUAUCUCCUUCUCUGCAAUAAUAAAAGUACAUCUUAUAUUGGAUUAAUAAAAAUGAAUAAUUUAUUUUUUGAAAACCUAAAAGUAUAGACUAUUCUCUUUUUCUUUGCUCGUUCAAUAUUGACUUAACAUAAAGAGUAAUAAACAAAAUGAUAAUUUUGUUAUAUUUCUUUUAAAUAUAACAAAUUUAAUACGUUGAGAAAUGACUAUAAUUAAUAAUAAGGAUAAGUUAGGAACUAAAUGAUAAAAAGAAACUGGUCUAAUGUCUCUCAUUUUAUACCUGAAAUCUCAACUACACAUUUUAACUUUACGGGUGUUCUAUCACCUUUCUAAACAUUUUAUUUAUCUAUUUUCUACACACUUGAAUGUCGACCUGUCAUAGGAGGUGAGAACUCCUCCUAGGCGCGUGAGAAGAAGCAAUCCUUAAAUUUUGACAAAAAAAAAUGUACUUCUCCAAUGGUCAUCUUCCCCAAGUUAAAUAAACCACUUUUCAUUCUUCCCCACUAUUAUGUGGACUGGACAACACUCAAGAGUGUAGUAAAUAAGCAAAUAAAAUGUCUAGGGAUGUGAUAGGACAUUUGUGAAGUUAGAGUGUGCAUUUAAGAUUUCAGGUAUAGAUUUUGGGGUUUAGGGGGAAGUGGGGGGGGGAAGACUUUAGAUCAUUUUCUCAAUGAUAAAUUAUUUCUUAAUUUUUUAAAUUGGACUAGAAAAAAAGUGAAUAUCUACUUUUGAAAUAGUAGACAGAGUGUAUAUUUCAUAAAGGAUAAUUGGAAUAUCAAAAUCACAUUAUUCCUAAUUAUAAAAAGAUAAUACUCCAUCCAUUUCCUUGACUGAGGGAGGGAACUUUUUAAGUUAAAGUGGAUAGAGGCAGUAAAGGUAAAAGAGAAUUUUAAAAUUAAAUGGACAAAGACAUUAUUUGUCAUGUCGCGAUUCAACACAUCGGACCCUACAUACUCUUACUGUACAAAUAAAUAAAGCAAAAGUUCCACCAUAAAGAAAGAUGAGUAGAAGCUAUUAGAAAUUAUCAUCAAACAUCACACAAUCCCUGCAAACAGACUAUACCAAGUGACAUAGAAAGAGUGGUACCAGUAUAAACACAUGUACUAAUAUAACAUAAAUAACCAAAAUAAAGCAUGCAAUAUAUAGAAGUGACACUACCUCUAAGUCUCUAUACACUUGCCAUAACUCUUGCCCCAUGAUCACAUGCCUCUCUCUGUUAUGUUAUCACAAUAUCAAAUCAUAGUCUAAUAUUUUUACCAUAUUAAUAUUCUUAAAUGCAAGGCACCACCAGCCCUGCUAAUUUUUCAAAAUUUCAUCAGCUCACAAUAACGCUUGCAAGCCGCUACAGCCAGGGGCAAACUCACAAUGUGUGUUAUGGGUGCUCGAGCACUCAUUAGCCUCGGCUCGAGCUAUGCAUAAAUAAGUAGAAAAAUAUCUUAUACUUUGUUUCUUCUAACAUUCUCCUUUUAGCUGUAAAAGUAUAUUGCUUCCCUUUUUUUUUUGGGCCAUCCAAAUAAUAUACAAGACGUGCAUAAAUAUUCACACUUCAAAUUAAAGUGACUUUUAGUUCAUAAUUUUGCAUUAUAUAAAAUGUCAAAAUUUAAAGUAAGAAUUUUAUUCCUCUUAAUUUCUCUUUGUGUUACACUCAUAUAGUUAUUCAUUACAUUAUUGUGUUGUCGGGUCAAAUUUAUUAGAGAAGUUAGUAUAUUUAUUUUCUUAUUGGUUAAAUCGAAAAUCAAACCAUUAAGGACCAAAAUCAAUAAACCGAAAAUAGAUAAAAAAGAUCUCUUUUUAAUUUGGUUAUUGGUUUAACGUAUUUAAAAACCAAAAAUUACAAUAAAUCGAAUAAAGUGUAUCGAAGUACAAAAAAAGUGUUGAAAACAUUAUUAUAUGUAAUUUCAUGGUUUUUAUUUUUUCUUUUGGUUUAUAUUUGUAAAUAAAUUAUAAAUGGCAGGGCAUGUGGACAGGAAUGUUGUUAGGAACCACACUUCAAACUAGUAUUCUUAUUCUCAUGAUUUCCAAAACUAAUUGGAAAAAAGAGGUAAUGUCUUGCAAAUCCAUCAUAUACAAUAGUAAUUUUUUCAAGAAAAUAGUUCAAUUAUUGUGUGAACCUGUUUGAUCAUGUUUUUGAAAGAUCAAAGUUUUUUUUUCUUUAAAAAAUAUAAUUAUUUUAAAGAGUGAGGCGUCUUUUCGAGCUUUUGUAAAAAAUAAAAUAAAAUAAGUGUUUGGAUGAAAAUAGUUUAUAUAUUAUAAGGACAAUGAAUCUUAUUGUUAUCUGAAUAAAAAUUAAUAAUAGGUUGCCGUAUUUUUAUUAGAGAAAGAAUGUGUUUAUAUGAAAAAGAAACAAUAUAUUUAUUAGAAAAUGCAUUUUUGACUCAAAAGUAAUAAAGUAGAAAUAUUUUUUGAAUCAAAAUAUUAACAAAGAAUAUAUUUUUUUUAUAUAAUUUCACAUAAUUUAAAAAUAUCUUCAAGCUUUUUAAAGUAAAAAUGUGACUUAAUGUUAUCAUAGUACUUUAUUUUCCCACUUGUUGCAGGCUUCCGUUGCCGAAGAAAGGGUAAAAGAAUGGAGAGGUAGCAAAUGAUUAAGGGCUUGUUUGGACCUAAUUUCAAUUAGGUUGAAUUGAAGUUGAAAUUUGUUUGGACAAAUCAUUUGAAACUUUUUAAGUUGUAAUUUUAUUUUGAUAAAUAUUAAAACUCUUUAAUUUAUGAAAAUUAUCAAAAAAAAAAUCAAUUCUCGAUACGAAUUUACAGAAUAAGUGCAAUCAUAUUUCAUAAAUAAAAAGGAAAAUGCACAAGUACCCUCCUAGACUAUAAUCUAAAUUUCAGCGACACACAUUAACUAAAUUAAGGUUCUAUUACCCCCUGAAUUUAUUUUUUUUGUAAUUUUGUGUAUCUUUUCGGCUUACGUGGCAUUCAAAUAUAUCUCACGCACCUCAAUUAUAUGGGGUCACAGAGUGUGUCACGUUAGACAAAAGGUGUAUAUAAUUACCAAAAAAUAAGUUCAGGGGUAAUAGGACCUUAGUUUAGUUAAGGUGUGUCUCUGAAAUUUUGGUCAUGGUCUAAGGCAAUAGUUAAAAAAAUUGAUGACGUGACCGAAUUAUAAUUGGUCACGUGUCAAAAAUGGUUUUGCAAAAUCACCGUUAAAAAAUAAUGGCAUGAAUGAGUCUUUUCUUUAACGGUAAUGGCAUGAAUGAACCAAAUUUUUAACUGAUGGCAUAAAUGAGUUAUUUCUGAAAGUUCAAUGACAUAUUUGAGCCUUUUACCCUAUGAAAAAUGAAAGUCCUUAAAUUUGGGGGCCUAAGGCAUAUAUAUGUCUUUAUUUUAACACUGUCAAGCCAUCCCCGGAUAACCCUCUAAAGUUUUGCUCAAGUGUAGAUACAAAUGUAAUUUUCAUAUUUUUUUUAAAUUUAAAUAUACUAUUCGCUUUACACGUGUGUAGUACACACCCUCACUAUUUCUGUCAUAUAAGUUUGAUCAAUGAUGAGAGGAGUUUGAUAUAAAGUGUUCUACUGAUCAUGUAAAGGUUAAUUUAGUUGGUUAAGGAAAAGCGUUAAGUAGAAGUAUACAUAAUAUAAACUCGGACAAGUAUAAAAAUUCGUUAGACCAUAUUUUCAAAUUUAUAUAAUGCAUAUAAAGUAUACUUCUCUUUGUUUGUAGUUCACGGUCGUUAAAUAUCGAUAAUUAUUAGCUUCCACAUAAUUCCGUAUAUAUUAAUUACCUCAACCCCAACAUGUCUAGAGUUCACUAAAGAAAAAAUUAGCUCUAACUAAUAAAUAGAAAAUUCAUGUUAUUAGCAAAAACUUUAUUACAAGUACAUAAAAGAAUUGAAAACUUAAAAAAAAUAAAAUAACAAAUUAAAUUCUCCUCAUAUAAUUUUCAAAUAACAUGCAACUCUAGCUUGAGACCUUCAAAACACCCUUUUUUGCUUGUAGAGAUGAAAUAGUAUGGGCCAGAUUUGUCAAGAGUAAUUGAUGUUUGGCCACUAUUAUCCUUGUAGAAAGUUUUGACAUUACUAUCACAAAGUGCAUAGCUUGAAAUAUCCACUGAGGCCACAUCUAUCACUUUUGGGGCAUAGAAGAAAUCUGUCGAGUCAAAAUUUGAAAUUUAUGAGUUUAAAACUAUUUUCGUUAUAAUUUAUAUGAGUUUAAUAAAUAUUUUAAGAUAAAUACGGGAUUUAUACCAAAAUUACUGAGUUUGGUGAAGCUUUAUAGCUCCACCCCUAACUCUUUUCUUUGUGAAUAAAAUUUCAAGACAAUUUCAGUAAAUUUAUUCUGUUUCCUCUAAUUUAACCGGCGAGUUUGAUUGGAUAUAAAGUCUAAGAAAUAAAAAGAUGUUUAAAAAAUUUGAUGAAAAUCACAGGGGUGAAAUGAGAAAUAGAUUGCUAUAUGACAAAUAAUACAAUCCUGCUAGACGAGUUUAAGUAACUACGUUGACUUCCACAUUAAUUUAAGAAAGAAAAACUUUGAAGCUACGUGACAUUUUGAGGUUAUAUACUAUCAUUAAGGUAUAUGUUCAGUACGAAGAAAAAGAAUAUAAGUUAUUUUCUAUCGAACAAACACCAAUAUUUCUUUUUAAGAAAAAAAAAUUAUUAAAAGGGAAAAAUUAACUUUCACCACUUAUAUAUUUCUCUCGUGAUGUAAUUAAUUUAAAACAUUUUCAAGCUUUUAAUUAAAGAGUAUUAGACCAUGAAACAAAUGUCUUUCAUCCAAUUCUUAUAGAAUUUAUCACUAGAUCAUUUCUAAAUAACGAAUAAGGUUAAUCAUAGCGAAAAGGAUUUUUUAUCAAAAUAACUUUUUAAAAACUUAAAAAUGAAUUUAUCUAACAUGCCAAGUGCACCUUAAAAGUAAAAAAAAUAGAUAUUCAUUUUUCUUCUUUUUAAGACUUGUAAAAAAUGAAAGUAUGUCAUGCAAAUUGAAACAGUACUUACGUAGAACAUCUCCAACACGAAAGCUUUUGCCAUAAGCCCAUGGAUGAUAAUCAACCCCCGGACUCCAACCUCUUUUGUCACCCACAACAUACUCAUUUGCUAAACUUGUUGGCAUUUCAACACACAAAAUCAAGAAAAUGCACACAAAUACUAAUUUUCCAAUUGAAAUGGCCAUUUAAUAUGUAUUUCACUAUGUUGCUAGAGCUCUUUUUUCUAUUUAAUUUCUUCUAACAAAAAAGAAGAUUGAAAUAUUAGAACAGAGAUAACAAAUAGGUUGUUAAGGCAAGUGUAAACAUAACAAUUAAGGUUUUGUUUUUAUAGAGAUGUUGAAGGAUCCAAGUUGCUUUAUUUUUUUUUAACAUAAAUGUUUGUUUAAUUAAUCAACUCUAUGCACGAAAGUAAUACUAAAUUGGCUUCAAAUUAUGGACUGGCUAUAGACAGCAAGAUUGUAGCACAUGCAUAGGCGGAUUUAAAAUUUGAACGUUCUGAUUCGAAUUUCAAGUUGAGAAAUUAUAUCACAAUCCGACCAUAUCAUAUACUUUGAUUUGAAAUCGAUUAUAUAUUUGUACUUAUUUUACUCUUUUUUUUUGACACAUAUAGAUGACUUUUUUAACCCUAUGAUGCAUCUAAUGGAUCUCAUGAAUUUGUCCUUUGACCUAUGCUAUCAUCUAGCUUAAAAGAGCACAUAUCAUGUAAAUUGUGUCUCGUCUCAGUUAGAUAGCGUUUCACUUUUUAAUCAGUCACUUUUUAAGAUGGAAUUUAUCUUUUGUGGUACGUACACUUUUUUUCAAAAAGUUUUUCAGCCCAGAAGUUUAUUAGUCUUGUUUUUACAAUAUUCCUGGAAUGUUGUAAAAACAAGUACUAAAACUAAUGAAAACACAAUAGGUAGUCUCCUAGACGAUCUAUCUUCUCCGAAGUUAAUUUUUAGAGUUGAGUAAUUGCGUAUAAUAUUUAUUUCCUUAAAUAAUUACAUAGUAGAACUCAUUUCAAUUCUCUCUUUCAACGUUGAACCCCAUAUUAAAUUAUGUUCACGCACUAGAUGUCCAGCUUUGGUACAUGCUGGUCUUCCACUCUUCCUUGACAGGAAUUAAUUAAUAAGAACUUAGAAUCUGAGAUUUAUAACCAAAAUGAAAUAAAAUAAUUAUACUUAAUAUAAUAAUUAAUACAAGAACCAAAAAAUAAAUAGAUAGAAUUUCCGGAAAUUUUGGAUCUUGUUAUAUAUCCAUAAAUAAUAAUGAGUUGAGUGUAGCAUUGAUGGAAGUUUCCUUAUUUAAUAAAAAAAAAUAUAUAAGGUGAAAAAAGAGUACUUCUUCAUCAAUUUUAUUUAAGAAAAUAAAUUGAUUUUAAAAAAUUAGCCCAAUAGGUAUUAUUAUUUGGGCAACUUUCACAUAUAGCAAAUAAAAAAUUUAUAUUUAUAUGUUAUAGCAAAGUUUGCAUAAUUGCGCUCUAUAGCAAACAUAGAAGCUGUAUAAUUCGCUAUACAUAUAUAGGUGAAGCAAAUUGUAUAAAACGAAGUGUAUAAAACAAGAAAAAAAAAGACACUUGGACAGAGAGCUGUAUAAAAAUGAAGUGUAUAAAACGAAUUGUAUUAUUAUAAGUGUAUAGAACGAUUAUAUACAAUUUGAAUUUGUAUAAAAUGAGAAAGAGAGAAAGACAAAAGAGACUUGAUAAGGAAUAUACAAUUGAAUCAAAUUGUAUAAAACGAGAAAGAGAGAAAUUAGAUACAAUUUGAAAAUUGUAUAAAACGAGAAAGAGAGAAAGGCAAAACAAAACUAGGCAGGAGAGUAUUUUUAUUGUAUAAUUAUAAGUGUAUCGGACGAAAAUAUAUGUACUUGCAUGUGUAUAUACAAUUUUCUCACGCUUUAUACAAAUAGAAAAGCAAUUUAUACAUUUCGCUUCUGGUUGUAUAAGUGAGAAAGGCGAGGGUGGCGAGCGAGAUCUGGAAGAGUGGAGAGAAGGGAACAAAAAUAUAUAUGUAUUUAUACAAUUUUCUCUGCUUUAUACAAUUAGAAACAAUUUUUUUUUCACUUGUGUUUGUAUAAAAAGUGAGGAAGCGAGCGAGAGAGAGUGGCGAGCGAGAUAUUUGAGAGAGAGGCGCCUGACAAUUUUUUACAAACGUUUGCUAUGACACACAAUUAAAUCAAACUCUAUCUACUUCAUUUAUUUUAGAUUAUUAAUCUGAUAUUAUAUAUAAUUUUCCCUUAUUAUUUUCAUGUAUAAAAUUAUGUGAUAAGAAUCUAAAACGACAUUUAAUUUGUUAAUCAAGGCAUGUGACAAGUUAAUGACAAUAUGAGGAUCUUGCCGUAUAUCUCGUAGUGUGGUAACUAAGGAAGCUGCUUAUAUACGGAUUCGACUCUUCUCCAUUUUUAUAUUAUUUUUAUUUAGAUACAAAAAAAAUAUUUUUGAAAAAUAUUUAGAGUAUUAAAUAUUUUUCAUAACAAAAAGGAAAAUGAAGACGAUCGAGUUCAAGUUUGACAAUAUUAUUCAUUUGGUCAUGAAUAUUUUUAUGUUUAUCUGAAAUAUUAUUUUUCAAAACUACUUAGAUACAAAUUGAUAUAAUGAAAAUUAUCAUAAUUUAAAUAUAUUAAAUUAUGCUAAAAAAAGCUUCAUGAGUACUAGUUAUGUGAUUAAAUAUUUUAAAAAAUUAGGUUAUAGAUUUUAAAUGUCUAAAUCAUUGCAAAACUAAAGAUCAAAUAUUUAAUAUUAUUAUUAUUAUUCUUAGUGUUAAAUUUUGCCUUUUUAGCAUUAAAAUUUAUUUGAUUUUGAUAUAAGUUUUAUUUGAAUUAAUAAUAUAUAAUAUGGACUAUAACUUUUGUUGGACCAUUCAAGAAUUUUAAAUCUCAAGAACUUGAAAUAAUAUGUUAAAAGAUAAAAAUUAUGAAAAAAUAUAAGAUAUAUUUACGAAUUAUAUCAAAGUAAAUAGUCUUAUGUAUAAAAUAAUUCUAAAAAAUGUGUUUAUAAUGUUGGGUUGAUUUGAUCUCAGAUUGAUUUUUUUAGUUAAAAUGAAGCCAACUCGAAUACAGUCUGAUUGUUUUUCCCAAUACCAUAUUAAGUCAAACCAAAUCAUUAGUUAAGUUUUUUUAAAAUUAUACUCAAUUUACGAUUUGAUUCGACUUUCAGUUCAAUUUUAUAUUGUCUCAGUUAAUAAGCUAAAUGGUUAGCCUAAAGUUAAAUUAUCACUAAAUAUAAAAAUAUGUUAUUUUGUUAUCGACUAAAAAGAGAACAUAUCAUUUUUUCAAACAAAUUCAAUAGAUUUUCCUAAUAAACUAAUUUAGCUCUCCACAACUAUUAAUUUUUUUACGGAGUUUAUGUUCAAGGCCCAUUAAAAGUGGCCCAGUCCAGAACAAAGAUCAAUCGGACUCACACUUAAUGGGCCAUAAUGAGCUCGGGCUGGCCCAAAUGUCUCUCUCUUGUAGUGUCACAAAGGAGCAUUUACUAAAGAGAUUAAAUAUACGAAACAAGAAGAGGUCAAGGAGAUUCAACAGUUAUUAUAUGUAAUAAAAAUAUUUUUUUACUUUGGGAUAAUAUAAUAUUUCAUCAAAAAGAUUCAAAUGAACACUCUUACGUUCACUUGUCUCCACUCCUAAUCUAAAUUAUUGAUCGAUAAAAAGAUCUAAUAAAAUUUCUCAAUUUUCAAGAUUUAUGUCAAUUCAAACAUCACGAUCAUCAAAACUGUGUAUUUACGUACCAAAUUAAGUUUUGAGAGUGACUAUUAGCGAACAAAUCCAUAUACCUCGUUAUAUAUAUAUUCAUACACGUUUAUUUGUUACCUUUUAUAGUGAUAAAUAAAAGUUGUGUAAGUUUAAGCUUUUUGUCAAUAAAAAUUUGGGCCACAACAAAUAAAUGCUAGUAACAACCAACUGUUAGAAAGGUCCCAAAAUCUUUUCAAAAAUCCUGUCAAACAUGUGAUCAAUAAUAUUUUCUAUACUUUAAUUUAUGUGAAUUUAUUUAAUUAAAUAGUUAUUAUUUAACUAUAUUUUUAAAAAAAUUAUAACUUAUAUAUGUCAUGAUAUUUGUGUGAUGAAAACAACUUGUCAUUGGAGCCUGGAUAUAAAAUGAAAUAUUUAAAUUAGAUUAUUUUCAAUUUAAGAAUAAAAAUAUUCUUUUUUUAAUUAAUUUUUAAGCCGAUAUAUAUAUAUAUAUAUAUAUAUAUAUAAACACAAAUAUGUAAUGAAUUGAGCUGAGGGACCCUUACAACAUAAAAGCUCUGGAAAAGCUUCAACUACCACAUGCUACUCCAACAAAAUCAUCUUUUUGAAUGUGGACAAAAGCAUUGUAUUAUUAAUAUUUUUUCCGUUUUAAUUUAUUUAAUUUAUUCAUUUUCACUUUGACUGAAAUAUAAGAAAGUUAGAAGAAAUAUAAAUUUAUAAUUUUAAAUUAAAGAUAUUUAAAAUAUAUAUCAGGAUAUUUUUUAAUAUUGUGAUCUUAAAUAUGCUAUAUAGAAAAAUAGAAUCAAAAUAUUGUCAAAAAGUAUGAUUUUAGAAUGAAAACAACCUACGAGAAGAAGUAAGACAAAUUAAUUAAAAUAGAGGAAGUAUCAUAAAUAUCGAAGCAAUUCUCAAAUUUUUAAUGUGUUGCCCCGAUUAUUUUCGAAUUGUGUAAUUCUUGAGUGGGCAAGUACUUCUCUCCAAGCCAACGAGAACACAAGACCUCAUAUAGUGUUUGAAAGCCCAAACCAAUAGACUAAGAGCAUGUUUGGCUCAGCUUAAAAGCUGGUCAAACUGACUUAAAAGUUAGUUUUUGACUUAUUUAGCUGUUUGGCAAUAUCCAAAACAACUUAUUUUAAGUUUAAAAAAACUUAUUUUAAGCCAAAAGUUAAAAGCUGGGAUAGGGGUGCUUUUUUUUUCCAGCUUAUAAGCUGUUUUAAGUUGACCACAUUUUUACCUGUUUGCCCUUAAUAUUUUUAUACAAUCUCCAAAUAACCCACAUAACCCUAACAUCUCUUUCUUCUAUUUUUCCCUUUUCACGUGUGGAUGAUAGACAAUUACUAUUACUAAUGAAUGAAAAUAAAAUAAUUUUAAAUCUUUCAAGUGAUCUAUUCAAAAUAUAUAUUAUUAAAAUGUAAAAUAAGUUGCACAUAUAACUUAAAUAAAAAUUUAUAUUCCUCUUAUAAAUAAUUUGUGAUAAUAAAGAAAUAUGUGAAUGAUAGACAAUUAUUAUUACCUAUGGAUGAAACUAAAAUAAAAUCUUAAAUCGUUGUUUAAUCUAUUCAAAUUAUAUAUCUUUAAAAUUUAUAAUAAGUUUAUAUUCCUCUUAUAAAUAAUUUGUGAUGAGAAAGAAAUAUGUGAAUGAUAGCAAAAUAUAAUUAAUGACUGUAAAAUAUAAAUAAAUUAACUUUUAUUAUGUUAACAACUUUUAAGGGUAUUUCAGACAUUUUAAAAAGCUGUUUAUAAGCACUUACUUGCCAAACACAUCAACAACUUUUUUUUUAACUUCAGCACUUUUAUCCAAACGUAUAACUGCUUAUUUUAAAAAUAAGUUUCAGCACUUUCAAAAGUACUUUUUUAAAGCUGCUUUUAUUAAGCCCAUCCAAACGGGCCCUAAGUCCUUCAACUUGUUUCAGGAAGUAUCAAUUUAUGCAUUUAUAUUUAUCAAACUAAAAUUUAACCACUAUAUAUAACGUAAUUUUCCGACGAAGAAGUAUCGCUCGACAUCCCUUGGACUAAGGUAGGUCCACAACUAAACAUGAAUUGUAUUGUAGUGUUGAGACUGUUUCACCUUUAAUUAAAAUUCUGCCCAACAAACUUCUAUCAAUCAUAAAUAAUUAAGGGGUCGUGUAAUAGCUAAAUAAGAAAUAAGUUAUAUAUACAUUUUUUUUUAUACCUCAUAUGAUAUUUGGUAAGUAAAUAGGAAAAUAAGUUAUUUAUCUAUAAAAAAUAAUACGAUAUGCGAUUAAUAAUUUUAAAAUUUACAUAACUAACAUAUGUAUAAAUCAUGAGAAUUUAUAUAAUAUUUUAUAUAGAAAUAGAAUUAUAGAAUAUUGAACAAUUAAUACAAAUAUAACCACUUUCUACAUAACUAAUAUAUAAAAAUAAGAUAAUAUUAUAUAAACUCUUUCAAUUAAUUUAUAUAUUACUAAUAUCUACGUAAUUCUAUUGAUUAGGCCUAUCAGUACACAUGCAUAUCAUGUCUCCCCACCCACACAUUUAUUGACCAUCUCAGACAGGUCCUCAGAUUGAUGGUUUAUGAAGUCAAGGGGAUACCAAAAAUUUCUUUUGUAUUAAUAGGGUACAACUAGUAAUGGUUCAAUGGAUUAUCCAAAAAAUUUUUGAUCAAAACUAUAUUAUUUAUAUAUAUCUAAAAUUAUUUAUUUAUUUGAUAUUUUGAAUUCUUUUAAUUUCUUUAUUUAAUACUUUAUAUUUUAAAUUCCUUUAAUGAACAAAAAAGGGUCUAAAAUUACCCUCCAUUCACCUAUUGGCUCGAAAAUAUUUUUUCUACCCAUUUAUUGGCUCCAAAAUACUCUUGUUAUCCAUCUUUUGGAUUCAAAAUUAACUACUUAUUUAACGAUUUUAAAUUUAAACUAUUUAAAUGUUUUUCUAAAUACGUGGCACUCAACUAUUUGUUAUAAUUUAACUUAUUAUUAGAAUUUUUAAAAAAUCAAUCUACUACCCACCCAUUACUAAUUAAAUCUCACCAAAUAAAUAAAUUCGUCAUAUUACUAAUGCAACAAUAGGGAAACUACUGCCAACGAGUGUUUUUGAAAAUUUGAGGCGAAAAUAUCUAUAGAAGUAUAUUAUCAUACAUUCAAAUGUCUAAAUUAAAAUUACCAAUAAACAUAAAAUUAUGACUAUGUUCAUCUUAAUUUUCUUUCGUCUAAAUUAUGUGAUGUUACUUUAUAGAUAAUUUUUUUUUUAAAAAAAUAAUAUGAUAAAGGUUUUAAAGCAAAUCAUCAAUAUUUAUAAAAUCAUUUUUAAAAAAAGUGCAUGCAUUAAUUCGGGGUGUACUACUUCUUUACCUUUACUCAUAAAUUUCGAAUUCAAGCUUGAAAGAGAAUCAUAUCGAAAAUGUUCUCCUAACUAAGUGGCUAAACCAAAAUUUAAUUGGGGUUUCAAUUCGGACUCGAAUAAUUUUGGAUGUCAUUUUCAGGAAUCUGUAAUUUUGUAGUGUUUUAGUAGUGUUUAUCGCGAUUACGAUAUUAUAUUCGAUUUAUUAAUUGGGUGGGGCUUAGUUAGUAAUGAGUGGGUAAUGAGUUGAUUUAUAAAUAAUAUUAAUAAAUUAAAUUAUAAUCAAUAGUUGAGCGUCAAGUAUUUUAAAAAAUAUUUAAACAAUUUAAUUUUAAAACAGUUAAAUAAGUGGUCAAUUUUGAAGCCAAAGGUGAACGACAAGUUAUUUUGAAGCCAAUAGGUGGAUUAGAAGGGCAUUUUAGAACCAAUAGAUGAAUGUAGGAUAAUUUUAUAUCAUUUCUAAUACUUCAAGGAUAUUUUAAGUCUUUUUCCAUUUAAUGAAAACCAUCGCUCUAUCAUGUUGGUUACCAAUUUUAAGUACUAAUUGUGUAACAAAGUUCUUAAAAAAGACAUGAUCGAUUACCCAUUCUCUACAAGUGAUUUAUGCCAAAUCUCUUAAAAGUCAAUCAUAGUUGUUCAUAACAAAUUUUAAAGUGAUAGAAAAUAAAUUACAAUCACAAAAAAAUUAUGUAAAACAUAAUUUUAUUCUUCAAGAUAGCGGAUAUAAUUUUAUUGGUUCCUUGAUUCUUUUCUCAUUAGAUACUGAUCCAUAAUUUGAGGGCAAUUUGUGGUAUAUUUAUUUGACUUAGGAUGAUUAGGACUUAAUCUACAUAAUUUGAGGGUGAUUAGUGGUGUAUUUCUAAAACUAAUAUAAUUUAGACUUGAUCUACAUAAUUUGAAAGCUAUUAGUGACGUAUAAUUUGGGGAUCUACAUAAUUUGAGGACCCUUGACGGCGUAUUUAUCAAAUUAGAUGAUUUGAUUCGAUCGUAAAUACCAUCAAAGUCAUAAAUUAGUGUGUAAAAUAUGGUUUAUUAAAUAUGAAAAACUAAAAUAAUAUUUUCUUCAUCUUAUUUUGUGUGACACUAUUUUAUCUGACACGAUGUUGUCACGACCCAAAACGAGUCGCGAGUGGCACCCACACUUAUCCUACUAUGUUAGCGAACCAACCAAUCUAAACCCCAACAUUUCAACCAUAAUAAACAGAAUAUAAUGCGGAAGACUUAAAACUCAUUAACAAAAUCAAUUAAUAACUUCUAAAAUUUAUCAAUUACUAUCCCCAAAAUCUGAAAGUCAUCACCACAAGAAUAUCUAUCCUCAAAUUACUAAAUCUAAGAGUAUCUAAGAAGCUAAAAUAAGUAAAAGAGAUGGUCCAUGUCCGAACAUCAAGACAUCAAGACGUGAAAGAAAGAAUCCAGUCCGAGCUAGGAACAAUAGCUCACCCUGAAAUCUGAUUAUGCUGAAGUCUGGCUAGAGUUGCGGUUGAGUCGAAGUCGAUGGCACAUUUGCUGCACUCCACAAAUAACAAAGAGAAAACAUACAAGUAGGGGUCAGUACAAGAGAUGGUCCAUGUCCGAUCCAUUAUUACUAUCCUGGUGUCGUAACGUGACACCCGAUCCAUUAUUACUAUCCUGGUGUCGGAACGUGACACCCGAUCCAUUAUUACUAUCCUGGUGUCGGAACGUGACACCCGAUCCAUUAUUACUAUCCUGGUGUCGGAACGUGACACCCGAUCCAUUAUUACUAUCCUGGUGUCGGAACGUGACACCCGAUCCACUAUUACUAUCCUGGUGCCGGAACGUGACACCCGUCCACUAACCUCAUUCUUUUAGUUCAUCAAGCCUUCCUUUAUACCAAGGCAUCAUCAUUAACAAAGAGGUUUUAAGGUUUAAGAUUCAACAGCCUCAUUAUGCUUAUUUUAUCACAAUUAUAUAUAAUCACAUCAUGCAAGCACACAAUUAAGCAUAUAAAAGACUUUACAAUACUACCCAAUACAUAUCAUUCGCUAUUAAGAGUUUACUAUGAAAUAGCAUAAACCAUAACCUACCUCCACCGAAGAAUCGUGAUCAAGCAAUCUACUUCCCGAAUGCUGCGUUCUUCUCUUUCUCUUACUCGUUCUCUCUUCCUCUUUCUGAUUUUUCCUUAUUUAACUCUUUUUCUUUUACCCUAAUUACCAUAUAAUUAAGUAUAAAAGAUGGUAAAAAACCCACUAUUUAUUUCAAGGUUAUCAUCUUUAACCCCCAAGUAAUUGAAUUAUUAACAUUAACCCACUAACUUUAUAAUUAUAAGCAGGAAUAGUCCAAAACGCCCCUUAAAACUUUUAACAGAAAUCCGACCCAUUCAGGGUUACGCAGCCUGUGACGGCCCGUCGUGCCUGCGACGUCUGUCCUGCUGCUUCCGUCACAGAGUUCAGAGACUCAAUUUUAUUAAAGGGUCUGUGACGGUCCGUCGUGCCCACGACGGUCCGUCCUGCCAUGUCGUCGCGAAGUUCAGAGAGUUGUUCUCAGUACCCAAAUUUUCAGAAACUAAGUGUUUUGGAACGAGACCCCCUCGACGGUCCGUCGUUCCUAUGACGGUCCGUCGUGGGAUCCGUCAACCCAGACAGUUAUUACCAGAAAUAAACUCUACUGCUCAAAACGACUAACAGGUCGUUACAAUAGAUACCAAUUUACCCAUCGUUCGUCCUCGAACGAUCACAAGAAGAAAAACAAGGGCAAAAAGGAGUACCUGAAGCUGUAAAACAGGUGUGGGUAUUUUUCUUGCAUAUCAACCUCCUUCUCCCAAGUGGACUCUUCAAUUGGUCGAUUCUUCCAUUGAACCAUGAUGGAUGCAAUCUCCCUUGACCUCAAGUUGCGGACUUCUCUAUCUAAGAUAGCAACAGGCUCCUCCUCAUAAGACAAAUUCUCAUCAAGAAGAACUGAAUCCCAACGAAUGAUGUAGUUUCCAUCCCCAUGGUAUCUUUUCAACAUAGACACAUGAAAUACCGGGUGUACUCCUGACAGUCCUGGGGGCAAGGCUAGUUCAUAAGCUACCUCCCCCACGCGCUUCAGAACUUUAAAUGGACCAAUGUACCUCGGACUAAGCUUACCUUGCUUACCGAACCGCAUCACCUCCCUUCAACAAAACUUGCUCACCCUCCAUAAACUCCAAGUCUCUAACCUUUCGAUCUGCAUAUUCGUCUGUCUACUUUGAGCCGCUAAAAGCUUUUCUUGAAUGCAUUUCACUUUAUCUAACGAUUCCCUCAGAAGGUCAGUACCCCAAGGUCUAACCUCAAAGGCAUCAAACAACCCAAUGGGAGACCUACAUCUUCUCCCAUGCAACCGAACGACUUCUGAGAUAUAGAGCCUGGCUAACUUCUCUGCAUUGUAAGUCACCUUAACCGGAAUGAAGUGAGCAGACUUAGUUAAUCUGCCAACAAUCACCCAAAUAGAUUCAUAUUUACCCAUUGUCCUUGGAAGACCAACCACGAAGUCCAUUGCAAUUCUCUGCCACUUCCAUUCAGGAAUGGGCAUUCUCUGAAGUGUCCCUCCAGGACUCUGGUGUUCAUACUUUACCUGCUGACAAUUCGGGCAUUGAGCAACAAAAUCAACAAUGUCACGCUUCAUCCUACUCCACCAGAAAUGUUGCUUUAGGUCACGAUACAUCUUGGUUGCACCAGGAUGUAUAGAAUACCUUGAACUAUGAGCCUCUGUAAGAAUAGUAUGAAUCAAAUCAUCGGCGCGGGGUACACAUACCCUUCCCUUAAUCCUCAAAACACCUUCCUCAUCAAUUUUUGCUUCUUUAGCCUCUCCUCGCAAUACCUUAUCUCGAAUCCGGAUCAGUUUCUCAUCAGUAAACUGCUUUCCCUUAAUCUUAUCAAGAAGGGAAGAUCUUGCCUCCACACAGGCCAAAAAUCCUCCCUUCUCAUUUACUUCUAGCCUCAUAAAGUCAUUAGCCAGAGUCUGAACCUCUCUAGCCAAUGGGCGUCUAGAAACCUGCAAGUGAGCUAGACUUCCCAUGCUCCCUGCCUUUCUACUUAAAGCAUCCGCCACAACAUUAGCUUUUCCCGGAUGAUACAAGAUAGUGAUAUCAUAGUCCUUCAGUAGUUCCAUCCACCUCCUCUGUCUUAAAUUCAAAUCUUUCUGAGUAAAGACAUACUGUAAACUACGAUGAUCCGUAUAGACUUCACACUUAACCCCAUAGAGAUAAUGUCUCCAUUGCUUUAAUGCAAACACUACUGCCGCUAACUCCAAAUCGUGGGUCGGAUAAUUACGUUCAUGCACCUUUAAUUGCCUCUAGGCAUAAGCAAUUACAUUCUUCUCUUGGAUUAGCACUGCACCCAAACCAGAAUAGGAUGCAUCACAAUAAAUAAUGAAAUUCUUACCUUCCACUGGCAGGGUAAGAAUUGGUGCAGUAGUCAACAAAGUCUUGAGUUUCUGAAAGCUUUCUUCACAUUCGUCCAACCAUACAAAUGGAACACUCUGCUUAGUCAAGUUUUUCAUUUGGGAAGCAAUAGAAGAAAAUCCCUUGACAAAUCGACGGUAGUAGCUAGCUAACCCAAGAAGCUCCUUACCUCGGUAACAUUAGUAGGUCUUACCCAGUUUUUCACUGCUUCAAUCUUGGUAGGAUCCACCAUCACUCCAUCCUUAGAAACCACAUGCCCCAAGAAGGACACUGAAUCUAGCCAAAACUCACACUUGGAGAAUUUGGCAUAAAGCUUUUUCUCCCUCAACAUUUCCAAUACCAUUCUCAAGUGCUCCUCAUGUUCUUUCCUACUCUUUGAGUAUACCAGUAUAUCAUCGAUGAAUACAAUGACAAAGAGAUCCAGAUAUGGCUUUAAAAUCCCAUUCAUCAAGCUCAUGAAAGCAGCAGGGGCAUUUGUAAGCCCAAAAGACAUUAAUAAGAACUCAUAAUGCCCAUACCUGGUCCGAAAAGCAGUCUUGGGCACAUCCGUUGCCCGUAUUUUCAAUUGAUGAUAACCAGAUCUCAAAUCGAUUUUCGAGAAGGUACAAGCACCUUGUAACUGAUCGAACAAAUCAUCGAUGCGAGGAAGAGGAUACUUGUUCUUAACAGUUACCUUAUUCAGUUGUCUGUAGUCAAUGCACAUCCAAAAACUUCCAUCCUUCUUCUUUACAAACAAAACAGGAGCACCCCAAGGGGAUGCACUUGGUCUAAUAAAGCCCUUGCUUAACAACUCUUGAAGUUGGGCCUUUAACUCUCUUAACUCAGCGGGAGCCAUUCUAUAAGGGGGUAUGGAAAUGGGGCGAGUACCCGGCUCUAGAUCAAUACAGAAAUCAAUAUCUCUAUCUGGUGGCAUACCAGGAAGGUCUGCAGGAAACACAUCCAGAAACUCACGGACUAUCUAAACCGACUCAAUUGAAGGUACUUGGGUAGUAUCAUCCCUGAGGUGUGCCAAGAAAACUAAACAACCCUUACUAACCAUUCUCUUAGCAUGAAGAAAGGAGAUAAUACGAACUGGAGUGGAAGUGUAGUCACCCUCCCACACUAAUGGAUCUGUCCCAGGCUUGGCCAAUGUCACAGUUUUGGCAUUACAAUCUAAGAUUGCAAAGUUUGGAGAAAGCCAAGUCAUACCCAAAAUUACAUCGAAAUCAACCACUUCUAAGAUAACCAAGUCUACAUGAGUAUUGCUCCCCAUAAAAGUCACAAGACAAGACCUAUACACCUUUUUAACUAUCACAGACUCACCCACCGGAGUAGAAACACGAAUAGGCAUGUCAAGCAAUUCACAAUGUAAAUUAAGACCAGUAGCAAAUGAGGAAGAUACAUAUGAAAAUGUGGAGCCAGGAUCAAAUAAUACAGAAGCCAUGCAAUCACAAACCAAAAGAUUACCUGUGAUGACAACAUCAGAUGUCUCCGCUUCAAAUCUCCCAGGGAAAGCAUAAUAAUGGGCUCUAUCACCUGUCUGUCCGUUGCCCCUACCAUGUCGCGCUGCAGUAGUUUCAGUUUUCCCGUCACCCCGGCCGUUUUGGUGACCACCAUUACCUCGGCCACCACGUCCUCCCGAAUAGCGGCCUCUUCCAUGACCACCUCUACCUCUGACUAUUGGGGGUCUGUAACACUGUUUUGGACAAUAUCUCCUAAUAUGUCCAAUUUCCCCACAUCCAUAACACUCUCUGGGUUCAAGCAUAGGUCUCUGUGAGAACGACGGAGUCUGGGGAUAACCUCCAAACUCAGAGAAAUAUUGACCGGUCUGCGGUGGACCCCCAGCUACAGCCUGUAGUGAAGACUGAAUAGGUCGGGCUGGAUAACCUCCUGCGCCCUGUCCUCUGGAGUAAGAACCAUUAAAAUCACCUCCCUUAUGAAACUUCUUAGUUGUUGAUGCCAUGGUGAAGUCAUCUGGCUUCACUCUCUCCACCUCUAUCACAAAGUCUACCACUUCUUGAAAGGAUUUUGCUGCAGUAGAUACCUGUAAGGCUGGAAUCUGCAAAUCUGACCUCAAUCCCUUCACAAAACGGCGAAUCCUCUCUUGUGUACUGAAGCAAAGCUGGGUGGCAUACCUAGAUAAUGCACGAAACUUAGCCUCAUACGCCAUAACCGACAUCCUACCUUGCUCUAGGCUUAGGAACUCAUCUCUCCUCCUAUCCCUCAAAGUCCGGGGUAUAUACUUCUCCAUAAACAAGCUAGAGAAUGAUGUCAAGGUCAUAGAUGAUGUUUGUGCUGGUUGACACUCAACAUACGAUGGCAUUUCCCUGAAACUGAUAGGUUACAAACUCAACACCAAAUCGUUCUAUUAUGCCCAUCUUGUGUAGUAGCUCAUGACAAUCAACCAGAAAAUCAUAGGCAUCCUCAGAUUCAGCACCCUUGAAGACUGGAGGUUUCAAUUUCAAGAACUUACUGAAAAGUUCAUGCUGAUCACUUGUCAUUAUAGGUCCUGUAGUCAACCGAGGGAACGUGCCUAUUUCCAAUGAGGCAUCCAUGCGGGGAGCCACAGCAGCUGCAUGUUGUACUCCCAGAACCUAAGGUGCUGGUGCAGAAAACACUGGAGGUGUCUGGCCCUGAUCAGAUAACCCGCUAAGAUAGGCAAGAACCUGGUUAAUCAUCUCUGGGGUAGGUUGGGGUGGUAAUUCUUCAUUCUGUACUUGCUCAUUCUCCCCUUCCUUGCCCUCUCUUACUACUUCCUCAGUCGGUGGAGGAGUCACCGCCCUAGUACUAGAUGGGCUAGGUGCUUGUCCUCUUCCUUUAGAGGACGUCCUCCCGUGACCUCUACCACGGCCUCUUGCCACUGCUCCUUUUCGAGCUACAGCCUGAGUGGCUGGCUCAGACACCUCUUGUCUUGCCGGUGUUGGUGUUGGCGCAGUUGUUGCUCUAGUUCUAACCAUCUGCGAAAUAGAAUGAAGAUGGUCAGAUACCAAUUUGUAUCACCUAGAUACAAAUUGGAUCCAAGUAAUAUCACGAAAGAAAGAAAGAAUGGAAUUUUCCUAAAGUCUUGUAGCCUCUCAAAGAAAAGUAAAGGCGUCCCCCUAUCGUUUCUCAAGAAUCUACUAGACUCGUUCUUGUGUGAUGAGACCAACGAACCUAAUGCUCUGAUACCAAGUUUGUCACGACCCAAAACGAGCCGCGAGUGGCACCCACACUUAUCCUACUAUGUGAGCGAACCAACCAAUCUAAACUCCAACAUUUCAACCAUAAUAAACAGAAUAUAAUGCAGAAGACUUAAAACUCAUUAACGAAAUCAAUUAAUAACUUCUAAAAUUUACCAAUUACUAUCCCCAAAAUCUGAAAGUCAUCACCACAAGAACAUCUAUCCUCAAAUUACUAAAUCUAAGAGUAUCUAAAAAGCUAAAAUAAGUAAAAGAGAUGGUCCAUGUCCGAACAUCAAGACAUCAAGACGUGAAAGAAAGAAUCCAGUCUGAGCUAGGAACAAUAGCUCACCCUGAAAUCUGAUUAUGCUGAAGUCUGGCUAGAGUUUCGGUUGAGUCGAAGUCGAUGGCACGUUUGCUGCACUCCACAAAUAACAAAGAGAAAACAUACAAGUAGGGGUCAGUAUAAAACACAAGUACUGAGUAGGUAUCAUCGGCCAACUCAAAAUAGAAAGCAAUAUAUAUCAGAUAAUAGCAUAAAAUCAACUACAUUACUCAACAGAUAACAACAACAAGUACCAUAACCAUUGGCCACAACCCAAGCACAUCUAUGAGGACUCACGCCUCCACACCAUACUCCUUUGGGAAACAGGUUCAUUAAAUCUGAGUAUAUUAGCAUAAUUCAAGAUUCAUUCUUUUAGCUAUCCUGGUGUCGGAACGUGACACUCCGAUCCUCUACUACUAUCAUGGUGUCGGAACGUGACACCCGAUCCUCUACUACUAUCCUGGUGUCGGAACGUGACACCCGAUCCAUUAUUACUAUACUGGUGUCGGAACGUGACACCCGAUCCAUUAUUACUAUCCUGGUGUCGGAACGUGACACCCGAUCCAUUAUUACUAUACUGGUGUCGGAACGUGACACCAGAUCCAUUAUUACUAUCCUGGUGUCGAAAUGUGACACCCGAUCCAUUAUUACUAUCCUGGUGUCGGAACGUGACACCCGAUCCACUAUUACUAUCCUGGUGCCGGAACGUAACACCCGAUCCACUAACCUCAUUAUUUUAGUUCAUCAAGCCUUCCUUUAUACCAAGGCAUCAUCAUUAACAAAGAGGUUUUAAGGUUUAAGAUUCAACAGCCUCAUCAUGCUUAUUUUAUCACAAUUAUAUAUAAUCACAUCAUGCAAGCACACAAUUAAGCAUAUAGAAGACUUUACAAUACUACCCAAUACAUAUCAUUCACUAUUAAGAGUUUACUAUGAAAUAGCAUAAACCAUAACCUAACUCCACCGAAGAAUCGUGAUCAAGCAAUCUACUUCCCGAAUGUUGCGUUCUUCUCUUUCUCUCGCUCGUUCUCUCUUCCUCUUUCUGAUUUUUCCUUAUUCAACUCUUUUUCUUUUACCCUAAUUACCAUAUAAUUAAGUAUAAAAGAUGGUAAAAAAACCCACUAUUUAUUUCAAGGUUAUCACCUUUAACCCCCAAGUAAUUGAAUUAUUAACAUUAACCCACUAACUUUAUAAUUAUAAGCAGGAAUAGUCCAAAAUGCCCCUUAAAACUUUUAACAGAAAUCCAACCCAGUCAGGGUUACGCAGCCUGCGACGUCCGUCCUGCUACUUCCGUCAUAGAGUUCAGAGACUCAAUUUUAUUAAAGGGUUUGUGACGGUCCGUCGUCCCACGACGGUCCGUCCUGCCAUGUCGUCGCGAAGUUCAGAGAGUUGUUCUCAGUACCCAAAUUUUCAGAAACUAAGUGUUUUGGAACGAGACCCCCUCGAUGGUCCGUCGUUCCUAUGACGGUCCGUCGUGAGAUCCGUCAACCCAGACAGUUAUUACCAGAAAUAAACUCUACUGCUCAAAACGACUAACAGGUCGUUACAGAUGUUUAACAAAAUAAAAGAAGACUUUAAAAAUCUAUGAUCUUAAAUAAACUUUCUAUAUUUAUAUGGUCGAUUGUAAAUCAUUUUAUCAAGUAUAAAAGGAAAUUUCUAGAUUAAAUUAUUUUUAAUUAUAAUAGGAUGAUAUUUCUUUAGGGAUAGAAUUAAAAAAAGAAAGGAUAUAGCAUAAAAUGGAUAGAGGGUGAUGUCUAAUUGAUCCUUAAGAAAAAAAGAAUUCCUUAGGAUCUCUUUCUUUUAUCAAAGAUCUUGAGUUCGAAUUUUGUGUCUAGAACUCUUUUUGGUUAGUAGUCAUUUUAUUUUCUUAAAUAGACCUUACAUGACGUGACUCUAAAUAAUUGAGCUCAUAUAUAGAAAUGAAAAUUAAAGAACAAAUAAACAAUUAUCACUAGUUUAGAGUCUAAUAACGUGUAUUUUCUUUAAUUUUUGAAAUUAUCUUUCAUACCACAUUUAUUCACCAUAUAUAUGUAUCGGAUGCACACAAAUAUAUUCAUUUUAAAAAUAUGCAAGUCAAAUUAGGUGUCUGUUUUAGAUACAUUGUAUCCAAGCAUGAUUCACAUGUAUCUGGAAAACUGACUCUCUCACUUGUUAGGAUUGAAAGAAUUAGGUGUCAUGCGGAAGCUAGCAAAGCAAAAUUAAGAAGACAAACGAGAAAUAUAACAAAAGACACAAAGAUUUAAUGUGGUUCAGUCAAUCGAUCUACGUCCAAAAAAAGAUGAGUAAUCCACUAUAUAUAAAUAGAAAUAACAUAAUUAACCCCCUAACCAAAACUCUCAAAAUCCAUAGAACUACGUUGUGAAUGUUAAUUAAGUUAUAAGGAAUGAUCAUCUAUUUAUAAAUUCCUAACUUUUUCCUACAAGAAAAGGGCUAGCUAAUCCUAACAUUUUCUUAAAAGGCAAAACCUAAAUUAGUAAGAAACUCAGGACAAUUAAUACCCAACAAAUCACCUCUCUUCUAUCUCACUCGUCUCUCUCCUCUCUCCCUCGCCUCUCUCUUAUCUCGUUCGCCUAUCUCCUUAUGAAUUUAAAUUUCAUAAUGUAUUUGGUACCAAAGGUAUAUUCAUAUGACUUGAAAUUUGAUCUACUUCAACUAUAAAAGGGAAUUAAUAUUUAUGAUAAAUAUAUGUGUAUAAUCAAAUUCAUAUUUCUUCGAAAAUUAAAUAAGAAUCGCAAAUAAUAAUCAAUUUAAUACUUCCUCUAUUUCAAUUAAAUAACACGUGAAAUGUUUCUAGUUAACUCCGUUAAUUUGACUGGAAAUUUUAUUAAUUACUCUUUGAACGUCCAAAAAUGUCAGAAAUUAAAAACGAUGCCUUAUACAGCUAUUACAGUAUUUUGUCCAAAAAUAAGUAUUUAUUUCCUAUAUUUUAGUUAACUGAUACCACAUAAAUAAAACGAGAAGCCAAAAAAAUAAUAAAUAUAUAUUAACAAUCUGUUUGAGAAUAACAUAUUAACAAUAAAACAAAAGAGCAAGACAAAAUUUUCUUGUUCGAAGAAGUUUCCUUUAUUGUGUUUGUAUAUGUAUGUAGAUCCUAUAUUUUCCCCUAUAUUAAAGUUUUUAUUUUAAUGUAUACAAUAAUAUCAAUUGGCUAUGUUUUAUUGUAUUUCUUAUUGUACACUAAAAAAAAAAGAUUUAGAAACAAACAAACUUCAUAGCUAAAUAGUAAAAUUAACCGCUAAUUGUAUUAAACGAUGAAUUGGAGAUACAUUUUUCGUUAACUUCAAAUAAAAUAACGAUGGACUAGUGAAAAAGUUCAUUAUAAAUGUAAUGUUUUUUAGUAGGGUUAGAAUUGCAUAUAAUUUUUCUUUCUCUUUUUUAGAGUGAAAGAAAUUUUAUGAUGCUAAAAAAAGUUAACUAGUGCACUUACAAGUUUUAAUUUUCAUGGUAAAAAAGCUAUCUGUCAUACUAUACAAUUCACUUUUUUUCUACUUAUGCUUUUCUCAUUCGUCUCUCUUUCGAUUUCGCUUGUCUCUCUCUUUUCUCUUUCAAUCUUGCUUGUUAUACAUAUAUAUAUAUAUAUAUAUAUAUAUAAAUUCACUGUUUGCCUCUCUCCUCUCUCCCAGUCUCGUUCACCUCUCUCCUCUCUGUAACAUGCAGCUACAAAAUGUAAUUAUCAAACUAUAGCUAUGCAGAAUAUUUAAGCUAUUUUUGAGUGGAUAUUUGUGAAAAUUCUCUUUAAAAGAAAGUAAUAUUUUUUUGUAUUAAAAAAUUAUUUUAUUUUAAGUGAUUUAUUUUUUCAAUUGCUAGUUUCUACUGUAAUAAAAUCUCCUAAAUCUAAACAGAUAUGAUAGGUCAUAUUUUUAUAGAAUAAUUUCAUUAUCCUUAUUUUAUAUUCUAUCAAUUUUUUAAUAUUCAAAAAUAAUUUCAUUCAAUUAGAAAUUUGAAAUUAUUAAAGACAAUCCUUUUGGGAAGUUUCCUUUUAUUUGUAUUAUUAUCUUUUUUUUUCAUAUAAUAUAGACACGUAGUGAUUCAAUCAUUAUUAAUGUUUGACAAAGUUAUCAAAGAUUGCUCUAGAGACAGGAUCAAAACCAAUCUAUUCAUGCAAAUUAAAUUAAAUGAAAGUGACAUUUAUAAGAUUGCAAAAUACAAAACACAACUACUUGAAAAUUUUAGUUCAUGUUUUAUAAUGUUUUCUUAGGGAGUCAGUAAAUUUUACUCCAUUCGUUCUAUUUUAUCUGAUAUGAUUUAAUUUGGUAUAAAAUUUAAAAUAAAUGAAAGAAGAUUUUUUAUAUUUAUCGUUCAAAAUAAAUUUUAAAUAUUUAUAUAAUUAUAAAUCACUUUAAAAGAAUUUAAAACUACAAAAUAAUAUUCUUUUGAGAAAGAUCAAAUAAAAGAUCAAUAUAUCAUAUAAAUUGAGAUUUAGAAGUUUCAUUAAUAUAUUAAAAGAAAAAGAAUAUUCACACUAUAAUAUCAUACCAUAUCGUGUAUAUAUCCUUGUAGCUGAAUAAUGUAGUAGUAGGUACUUCAAGUCUCUUGAAUCGAUGUUAUUUUAUCGAUUAAAAGUGAUAAGUUUAAAAAUAGUGCAUAAAUAAAAUUGAACGAAAAGAGUAUUAAUAUACGACAUACACAGAGAGACGAGUAAGAGAGGAAAGAGGUAAGCGAAAUAAGAUUGAGGCGAGUGAAAAAUAUCCCAGAUACAUGCCUACGAAUCACACUAUAUAGAUACAUAUGUAUCUGGGAUAUGAAAUACAUUCUGAAUUACAGAUACAUACACAGAGAGAGGCAAACGAGAGAGUUAAUAUACGACAUACACAUAUGAGUUCACUUGAAUAUACUAGAUCAAAAUCUAAACACUCUUAAACUUGUAAAAAGAAACUAUUCGAACUAGAUAAGAAUAUGCAUACUAUACUAUAUGUAGGAUGUCAUGAAUAACAGUAUCCGUAUAAAAUAAUUAUAAAUUAGUUAUUUUUAAAAACCUCAGUAUUUUUUUCUAACUAUAAAAAUGAUAGUGACUAUCUAUCUACUAAUGUGGAUGUAACUUGGUGACCACAUAUAAUAUGUAGUAGUAAGUCUUAAGGAAAAUGGAAAAAAAUUGGUGAAAAGUGAACAUUGUGCUUAUAUAUAAACCAACCCAAGAUAGCACUUUUAUAAUGUCACCCUACUCCCAAAAUACUUGUACAAUUACUUAAAAUCUCUUCGUAAAUUUUAUUUAGAUAUUUUACUUAAAUUUUAUUUUAAUUAAAUAUAUGAAAAAAUGAUAAAAACGGGUUUGCUAAAUAGUUUCAACUUAAAAUUUUGAUUUUUUUUUUUUUUGCAACUUCUCAAACAUACAUUACAUAUAUAAUUUAAUCAUGUAAUAUAUAUCACUUUUUAUUAUUAUAUAAACCAACAUCAAUUUAAAUCGAUCUGUAUUUACAUUAUUAUUGAGUCUAAUGCACAUAGUUAAAGCAAAUAUCAUACUCUAAGUGAAACCAAUAUGUCCUUGCGAAUACACGUGAAAAAAAUUAAAAAAUUUGAGUCAAUACAUAUGAUAAUAACACUUUAUCACGUAACUUCAAAUACAAAAAUUAAAAAAUUGAGUCAAUACAUAUGAUAAUAAUAAUAACAAUUAUUAAAGUAUACCUAAUGUAUAAUCUCAUAGAUAAAUCUAGAAAAAAAUAGAGUAUAUAUAAACAUUACUUUCAUCAUGAAAAAAUAAUUAAAAAUUGUUUUUGAAAGAAUUUAGUAGAAAAAAUUACUGACAAUUGUAAAAGGAAGUUAAUGUGUUCUACCUUUUAUAUAUAUUUUUUUACUAUAAUAAAAUGCACCAACUUUGAAAUAAAAGAUUUUAUUAGUAGAUUAAUUAGAUAAGUAGCUUUUCAAAAUGUUGUCUUUUUGAAUUUGAAGGGGCAUUUUAAGGUGCUUUUUAUAAGUGGGGUUGCAUUUUAUUAAUGAGGUGUGAUGACAGCAAAGACUGAAAAGGAUAAGGAAGGGACCAUAUCUUUGAUCUUUUUCUUUUAGUUAACAAGACAUACAUACAUGAUAGAUAUACACUUAUGGAUAGGAACACAUGAUUUGUCUUGGCUUCAAUUUGAGCCAACAAUGCGAUAUCAACAGUGAAAUUCGAUUAAAUUUAGAUUUAUAAGAUUUAUGUAUUACGAGGUUUAUUUUUAUAUAACAACAUAUUUAGGGUUUUUCAGGAUUACGUAAAGUUCUGAACUCAUAUUUUUGUUUCGAGAUGAUAUAUAGUAGUGUUAUUUUUAAAAAAAUUAGUAAAAUAUACAUAUGUGAAUUCACAUACAUACGAAGUAUCAUGUAACGCAAUGAUGAUUGGGUAUACCUCUCUAACUGAGAUUUGAAAUUUAUAUUAAAGUCCAAUUAAAUUCAAAUUUAUAUAUAACGAAAUUUAUUUAUGAACAUUUAAAGACAAAUGAAUCUCAAUCAUUCAUCGUAAAGUUGUUGAUAUGCUUGUAGUAAGUCCAAUUAAUUAGUAACUUGAAAAAUAAAUAAGUGAAAUCUAAUAUGACAAAUUAAAUUGUAAUAAGAAAGUAAAAUGUUUUUCUAGUUAUUGGUGUAUAUGAGCUAAAUAUAAGAUACUUAAUAUAAAUAUAAGAUACUUAAUAUAAUAAGGAUAUAGAUACUUUUUAGAACUUUUUUUUUUAUGAUUGAACAAUGUGGAUUAGUUGAUACAUUGGAGUACAAUAAAUUUCUCAAUCAUGAUAAAUUAAGGGAAUUUUUAGAAAUUACAAUGUCAUCAAUAAAAAAAAUCAAGAAUAUUGCAUUGGCCAAAACAUCUUGAACUUACAAUUGAAAUUUUACAAAGAACCCCCUAAAAAUAAUCCCUCUAUAUUUACAAAAUCAUAAUAAUCUCAAAGAGAAAGAUACAAUAAAAUAAAUUUAUUAAUGGUGCCACCUAGCAAUCAGUGAGAUCCGGUGAAUACAUAAGAGAUCAGGUUUAAAUCUUAGCACGAAUGUAACAAAAUUUUCAAAUAUUGAUAUUGGUGAAAUACAAAUAGAUACCUUGUACUUGCAAACUAGUCCAAAAAUCAUCAAAAUAACUUUAUCUCAUUUCCAAUACAAAUUGAUGUUCGCUCUAUGAAUCCUCACUAGCCCUUCCCGGCCAAUCAUCGGCAUCAUAAAAGAACAUUAAAAAAUGGAAUUAAUGGGAGGAAAAUGAGAUAAGGAGAGAACAAUUGUACGAGACAAAUGAGUCGUUCAAGUACACAAAAGCUAGUUCGAACAUCAUCAAUAAUAGACACGCCUCAAUCUCAAAUAAGUUGAAAUUGAUUAUACGACUCUGUACUAGCUCGAACAUUACCAUUACUUUUUUUUUUUUAGAAAAAAUGUAAUUAAUAGAAGGAAUAGGAAAGUAGGAGAGAACAAUUGUACCGGACAAAAGAGUCCAUGUACACAAAAGCUAGGUCGAACAUAAUCAACAAUAACGGACACACCUCAAUCCCAAAUAAGUUGAGAUUGAUUAUACGACUUUGUACUUGCUCGAACAUCAUCAACAAUAACAGACACGCCUCAAUCCCAAAUAAGUUGAGAUCAAUGUAUACGACUCUGUACUAGCUCGAGCAUCAUCAAGAAUAACAAGACACACCUUCAAUUUGUGUUCAAGAAGAAUACAAGACUAAACGCCUAGAACAAAGAGUACAUUGAUAUUUCCUCUUAAUAAUGAAGCAAAGAGGAAGAAAACAGAAUUUUGAACGACUCUCAACAUCAACAGCUUGAACUUUGCCACCACAAGAAGGACAAGCUCCUGAUGCAGCUUGUCUUCCAAGCUCUUUCUCUUCUGAAUCACAAAUAUAUAUUAUCAAACACAUUUUUUUUUCUCUCUUUGUAUCUCACUAUGCUUAGUUGGGGGAAGGGAGUAUUUGUUUAUAUUUCUCUUAAAAAAUGUAUUGAUGUGAUUGGCAUGUGCACUUAUAUAGAUGUGGUAUCAAGUGAGUAAAGGAUUUUUACCGACGAUAAAUAUAUAAUACAUAAAUAUGUCUUUUAAAUUGAUCUUAGCUGAUAAUUAUGUUAUUUAAUUUUUAAUGUGUAUAAAUAAACAUGCAUAUCGUAUGUGGAAUAAUAAUAUUAUAUUUAUAUUACAUAGGAUAUAAAUUGUCAUGUAAAAUGUUCCAAUUUAAGUUUUCCUAGUAAAAAUUGGAGGAUGUAGAUGUUAGCAGAUAUCAAGGUAAAUGUCAUAUUUAAGUUAUAUGGUGAUAUCAAGAAUUUUUACUGACUGUAAAAAUAUCCUCUUUAUAUUUGUUCUACUUUAAUCUUUUUAACUCAUGUGAUGUAAUUUUAAAUGCUAACAGUGUUCAUUAACGACAAAGACAAGAGUUCUAGUAAAGGGAUUUAAUAAAGAUAUAAUACAUAAACAUAUCUUUAAAUUGAUUUUAGUUGAUAUUUAUGAUAUUAUAUUUUUGAUGUGCAUAAGUAGACACACAUAUUUUAUAUGACAUAAUAAUGUUAUGUCUAUGUUAGUAAGACGAAUAUUGUCAUAUAAAAUGCUUCAGUAGGUGUCGACCGAUACCCUUUCAUCAAGAAAAUACGUAGUAUAACUAAAAUGUCAAUAUAUAUAUAUAUAUAUAUAUAUAUAUAUAUAUAUAUAUAUAUAUAUAUAUAUAUAUAUAUAUAUAUAUUGAUAUUUCUUAGUUUCCACACGAUUUUACUUUUUUAUGUUUUUAUACCCUUUUAAAACAUUCUAUCUUCGUCACUGUGUUUCAAAAAUUUCUUUAUCGCGCUUUCGAUCCUCUCUAUGGGAGAAUAAAUUAGUGGAAAGAUCUGUUGUUCGAUCUGUUGGGGGGCGCUGAAACCAAUAUAGUAUCGUUAAUCCCCCUGACCUGCCUUUCUGUAACGACCCGCUAGGUCGUUUUGAGAACUAGGACUAGUUCGACUCCUUUUGAAAAUUUAAGAGGUAUUUUAAACUAUUUGAUAACUAGGAGUACUUAGUUGAUACAUAUAUCUAUAUUAUAAUUAAUAUACUUGAAUAAUAAUUGGGUCAAAUUCUUUUUUUAAUAACCCUUACCAUUUGACUAUAUAAUUAAAACAAAUCAGUUAGGUUAUUUUAGAAGAAGAACAAAAAAAUAUAAAGGUUAGAAACUACCUGGAGACGAGAGGGACCAACGGGUGCGGAGAACAUUAAUCUCCAGGUAAAUCAAUCCAAAUUUGUAAAGGUUUAUGUGUAAUUGUAUGGUACACUUGCAUUAAUAUAAUAAAAUAAGAUUUUGAGGGGAUUAAAGUGUAAUGUAUAGUCACUGUAAUGUUUUUUUUUUAACUAUAACGUGGCAUAGGAUUUAUUUGAUAAUGGCGGCCAAUGAUUGCUUAAUCAUUGGAUACAAUUGGUUCUCAUGCAAUUAUAUGCAUAUUCCUUUACAAGUUAGACAUUUGACAGUACCAUUUGAAGAAAACGAAAAAAAAAAGAACGUGGUCUGCAUUAUCGUAUUCCUUGAUUUUCUUUAUUAAUUCUUAUUUGUAUUUAUUUUAUCAAAUUAUGAUACUAGUUUUUGAUAUAUUGAGAUAGGAAAUUAAUUAUUGGGUGUAUAUUAUAUGAUUUAGCAUUGAAUCUAGGGUAUUUGGAGAGGUUAAGGUUAAGUUCUUGGCUUGAAAUUUGACGAAUUGGCAUAUAAAUUAUACCAAGAUUUGACGCUUGAUUAGAGAUAUGAAUGAGUUUAGGGUCUAUGAUAUAUAUAUAAUAAUAUGAAUGUCUACAAACUCGCUUAUUUAUGAAUAUUGCAUCAUUGGUAGAUCGUGAACAUUACGAAACUUUGCAAAAAGGGAAGGAACUAUCUUGAAGAUUCGUGACACGAAUUUGGCACUUGAGGUAUGUUAAGACUUUUAGACUUGUUGAAGGACUUUUUCCUAAUUAAAAAAAAAAUGAAAAUAGACAAAGGGGUAAGGGGGAAAGAUGGUGGUCUCGUAUCAAUGGUGUGACGGGCAUUGGUACGAGUACCGGUGUUAUAAAAAGGAAAAAUUACUAUUAUAGAAUGUGGAUUGAAAUUUGAGAAUGCCAAAGCAUAUGGGCAUUAGCUGAUAUAUUAUUGACUUAAAUUCCUUGUGUGAUUGUGUUUUAUUUAUUUCACCCGUAUAGUUGUGAUAAUUGAGGUGGUUAUGUAUUAUGUUCAUAUUGAUUGAUUGAGAUGCAUCAUCAUCCUCUCUAUUGAAAUAAUAUGGUGCACAUGCAUAGACAUGAGACUGAGUAUAAGUUGGGCACGUGGAGAUCGUCCGUGCUGGGGAUGGUGAGAUGUUAAGAUUGUAAUUUGGGCACGUGGAGACCGUCCGUGCGAAAAUUGUUGAUAUUAUGAUAGUGCGUUGAGAUCGUCCGCACAGACACGUGGAGAUCGUCCGUGUCGGUAUAUGGACCUCACGAGUCCCCCAUGGGUCAUGAACUCUCGAUGUAUUUCCGAGGAGUAUCAUGUAUAUACGGUUGAGUGAGUACUAGGUAUUCUGAGACAUAUCAUUACAUGGCAUCAUAUUGCAUUGCACUUCAUCCCAUCAUUCAUUCUUGAUGACUAUAUGUUUCGUUGGUGUUUGGAAAAUAUUAAAUGUUGAUUUCCUUUAUUGAUGAAACUUAAAUAGUAAGUGUAAUAUAUAUAUAUAUAUAUAUAUAUAUAUAUAUACUUGUACAAUCUAAGAAAUUAUUUUCUUAUAUAACUCCCGUCACUACUUCUUCGUGGUCGGUCAAUGAGACAUACUGAGUACACGUGGUUUCGUACUCAUACUACACUUGUUGCACUCUUUGUGGUGCAGAUUCGAUUCCAAGUAGGAGCACAUCUCGAGGAGCAGUUUGAGUCCGAGUUUGGAGUGUCUUGGAGUUGUGGUGAGCUGCUUGGCUGUUCCGUGGCCCACACCUCCCUCUAUCUUUUACUUAUUCUGUUAUUCAGUAUUCAGACAGGAUAUCCCUUAUGUUAGAUUUGCCUUUUUGGUUUCAGACUUGCAUCGUAUUUUAGAAGCUCUUGUACUCAUGACACCAUUUCUUGGGUAGUACUUUUUUUCAGUUUUCCGCAUUCGUACUUAUAAGAACUCAGUGUUGGAGAUUUGGAAAUUGUUGUCUUUUCACUUCUUGUUAGUUAAGUUUGUUAAAAUAUGUUGGUUGGCUUACCUACUGGUUGGGAAUAUAGGUGCCAUCACGACUCGUGAUUUUGGGUCGUGACAAAUUUGGUAUCAGAGCUCUAGGUUCAUCGGUCUCAAGAGUACAAGAGCAAUGUCUAGUAGAGUCUUGCGGGUCGGUAUGAAGACGUCCAUACCUAUCUUCGAGAGGCUAUAGGACAUUUAGGAAUUAUUCUGUUCUUUUAUUCCUUAUCGUGCACACUUGACCUUGUAGAAAUUCUAAUCUUGAUAUCUCAUUCUCUCUCAGAUGGCGAGGAAUCGUACGUCGGCAAGUGAUGGUCAGGAUCCUAAUCCUGCGCCUGCUUCUGGGAACCCUAUCCGAGGUAGAGGUAGGGGACGAGCUCGAGGUCGGGGUAGGGGCCGUAUUGCAGCACCUGUGGGUGGUCAAGUACCAAUAGCUACCCACGGUCAUGAUAGGACCGUACCUCCUGAUGCAGAUGUUCUUCAUGGGGAUGUGCAAGAUCGUGUCGAGGGGGAUGGGCCAGCUCAGGCUCCAACCAGUACUAUUGUUCCCCCAGUGCUUCAAGAUACCGUGGCUCGUAUGUUAGGAAUCCUAGAGGGGAUGGCCCGGGCAGGAGCUUUGUCUGUCACUUCUGAUGGCUCACAGACCCGUGUUGGAGGUCAAACUCCAGAUCCGAUAGUUGCUCCAGAUUCUCAGACUCCCAGGACUCAGCCAGCUGCCGCUGUAGCUCUUCGUUUGGAUAGUAUGGAGUUUCCAGACAUGACAUCACAUUUGGUGAACAGGCCUUCUAUGACUAUUGAUGAGCAAAAGAUGUUUGGGAGGUUCAGACUAAUGAAUCCUCCUACUUAUACUGGUGACUUAGCUGAGGAUGCAUAUGAGUUUAUAGUUAGUUGUCAUGAGAGGUUGCAUAAUCUUGGAUUAGUGGAGUCUCAUGGAGUUGACUACACAGCGUUUCAGAUGACUGGCUCUGCUAAGCAGUGGUGGAGGGAUUAUAUUAGUAGUAGGCCAGCUGGAUCUCAUCCACUAUCCUGGACUGAGUUUACUCAGGUAUUUCUAUCCAAAUUUGUUCCACGCAGUGAGAGGGAGCGCAAGAGGGCCGAGUUUGAGGGUUUGCAGCAAAAUGGUAUGUCAGUUGCAGAGUAUGAGGGUAAAUUUCAUGCCUUGGCUAGGCAUGCUUCGAUGAUACUUCCCACAGAGGCUGAGAGAGUGAGGAGGUUUGUUAAGGGGCUGAUUAUUCCAAUUCGUCUAGGAGUUUCUCAGGUUGCUGCUUCUGGUGUUCCAUUCCAGAAAGUGGUAGAUGCUGCUAAGGAGUUGGAGAUGAUUCGACAUGAGGGAUUUGAGCAGCGAGAGGGCAAGAGGACUCGUUAUUCAGGUGAUUAUGGUGGUGCUCCGUCUAGGAGUCGGGGUUACUUGGGCAGAGGUUAUCACCCUCAGUCUAGCAGACCCAUUCAUGCUGCCAUACCAGCGUCUGAGGCUGGUUACGCUGGGCAUAACUCUUCGAGCUCGGUACAUACUUCGCAGGGUUCAUCUUCUAGACCUGUAGUUCGUGGAGGGCAUUCUGGACAUUCCGGUUCCUCUCAUCAGCUGGCGUCUCGUAGGGGUUGCUUUGAGUGUGGUGAUAUGGGACACUUUGUGAGAGACUGCCCUAGGACCAGACGUGGUGGCUUACAUCAGGGUUCUCAGGUUUCGACUUCCAGGGCUGCACAACCUCCAGCUAGGGGUGGUGCACAGAAUGGUAGAGGUGGUUCUCAUUCAGGUAGAGGUGGUUCUCCUUCUGGUCGAGGGGUGGUCGUGGAGGUCCACAAUCUGAUGGAAGUCGUUCUCACUGUUAUGCUUUUCCAGGUAGGCCAGAGGCUGAAGCCUCAGACGCUGUUAUCACAGGUAUUAUUCCGGUUUGUCAUCGACCAGCUACUGUAUUAUUUGAUCCAGGCUCUACUUAUUCUUAUGUGUCCACAUAUUUUGCUCCUAGUCUGGAUAUAUUGUGUGAGUCUCUUGAUUUGCCGAUACGUGUUUCUACUCCUGUCGGGGAUUCUGUAGUUGUAGAUCAAGUGUAUCGUUUAUGUACUGUUACUUUGAUGGGGUAUGACACUCAUGCAGAUCUAAAGGUCUUAGAAAUGACAGAUUUUGAUGUGAUUCUUGGUAUGGAUUGGUUAUCUUCUUACCACGCAAUUUUAAAUUGUCAUGCCAAGACCAUCACUUUAGCUAUGCCUGGAAUUCCUAUAGUAGAAUGGAGAGGUACUCUUAGUCAUCCUUCUAAGGGUGUGAUAUCAUUCCUUAAGGCUCGUCAGUUGGUACAGAGAGGAUGUUUGGCUUACUUGGCCCAUAUUCGAGAUACUAGUAUUGAGACUCCUAUGCUUGAGUCUAUUCCAGUGGUGAGUGAAUUUUCAGAGGUAUUCCCGACCGAUUUGCCAGGUCUUCCACCAGAUCGUGAUAUUGAUUUUUGUAUCGAUGUGGAGCCAGGCACUCGGCCUAUUUCUAUUCCUCCUUAUCGUAUGGCACCGGCUGAAUUGAAAGAGUUGAAGGAGCAAUUGCAGGAUUUGUUGAGCAAAGGUUUUAUUAGACCAAGUGUAUCUCCUUGGGGUGCUCCAGUGUUAUUUGUGAAGAAAAAAGAUGGAUCUAUGCGUAUGUGUAUUGACUAUCGACAGUUGAACAAGGUAACCAUUAGAAAUAAGUAUCCGAUACCUCGUAUUGAUGAUUUAUUUGAUCAAUUACAGGGUGCUUCAGUUUUCUCCAAAAUUGACUUGAGAUCGGGCUAUCAUCAGCUGAAGGUUAGGGCGGAGGAUAUCCCUAAGACGGCUUUUCGAACACGUUAUGGUCAUUACGAGUUUUUGGUGAUGUCCUUCGGAUUGACUAAUGCCCCAGCAGCUUUUAUGGACUUGAUGAAUGGAGUGUUCAGACCAUAUUUAGAUUCCUUUGUUAUUGUCUUCAUAGAUGAUAUAUUGAUAUACUCACGCAGUAAGGAGGAACACGAGCAUCAUUUGAGGAUUGUUCUUGGGAUUCUAAAGGAGAAGAAGCUUUAUGCAAAGUUUUCAAAGUGUGAGUUUUGGCUUAGUUCGGUAGCAUUCUUGGGACAUGUAGUGUCCAAGGAGGGUAUCAUGGUGGAUCCUAAGAAGAUUGAGGCGGUUAGAGAUUGGGUCAGACCUGCUUCAGUUACUGAGAUUCGGAGUUUCUUGGGCCUUGCAGGUUAUUAUCGACGGUUUGUUGAGGGUUUCUCAUCCAUUGCAUCUCCAUUAACUAGACUGACACAGAAGGAGGUGACUUUUCAGUGGUCUGACGAAUGUGAGGUUAGUUUCCAAAAGCUCAAGACUUUAUUGACUACUGCUCCAAUUUUAACCCUACCCGUGGAGGGAGAGGGUUUUGUCGUACAUUGUGAUGCUUCUCGGAUUGGUCUUGGUUGUGUAUUAAUGCAGAAGGGAAAAGUGAUAGCUUAUGCUUCGAGACAGUUAAAGGUUCAUGAGAAGAACUACCCUAUUCAUGAUUUAGAAUUGGCGGCUGUGGUGUUUGCAUUAAAGAUUUGGAGGCAUUAUCUUUAUGGUGUGCAUUGUGAGGUGUUCACGGAUCAUCGUAGUCUCCAGUAUAUAUUCAAUCAGAGAGAUCUAAAUUUGAGGCAGAGGAGAUGGUUGGAGUUGCUCAAAGACUACGAUAUGACUAUUCUUUAUCACCCAGGCAAAGCAAAUGUUGUAGCAGAUGCCUUGAGUCGGAAGGCGGUAAGUAUGGGUAGCCUAGCCAUGUUACAGGUUGGUGAGCGUCCCUUAGCUAGGGAUGUCCAAUCCCUGGCCAAUAGCUUUGUGAGACUUGAUAUUUCAGAAUCUGGUAAGGUGUUGGCUUAUAUGGAGGCUAGGUCGUCCUUGUUGGAGCAGAUUCGGGCUCAACAGUUUGAUGAUGGUGAUUUAUGUAAGAUUAGGGACAAGGUGUUAAAAGGAGAAGCCAAGGCUGCAAUUCUUGAUAGUGAGGGAGUUUUGAGGAUUAAGGGUCGUAUAUGUGUUCCUCGUACAGGUGAUUUGACUAGAUUGAUCAUGGACGAGGCUCAUAGUUCGAGAUACUCUAUUCAUCCGGGGGCUACUAAGAUGUAUCGUGACUUGAAGCAACAUUAUUGGUGGUGUCGUAUGAAGAGGGACAUAGUAGAUUAUGUAUCCCAGUGUCUGAAUUGUCAGAAGGUGAAGUAUGAACAUCAAAAGCCUGGAGGUGUGACACAGAGGAUGCCUAUACCUGAGUGGAAGUGGGAGCGUAUUGCUAUGGACUUUGUGGUAGGAUUGCCACGUACCUUGGGUAAGUUUGAUGCUAUAUGGGUCAUCGUGGAUCGACUGACUAAGUCUGCACACUUUGUACCAGUUCAGACUACCUAUAACUCAGAAAGGUUAGCCAAGAUUUAUAUUCGGGAGAUAGUUCGGUUGCAUGGGGUUCCUAUAUCUAUUAUUUCAGAUCGUGGCACCCAAUUUACAUCUCAUUUUUCGCGGUCUAUGCAGAAGGAGUUGGGCACUCGGGUGGAUCUUAGUACAGCCUUUCACCCUCAGACUGAUGGUCAGUCUGAGCGGACUAUUCAGGUUCUUGAUGACAUGUUGCGGGCGUGUGUGAUUGACUUUGGUGGUCAGUGGGAUCAAUUCUUGCCAUUAACGGAGUUUGCUUACAAUAAUAGUUAUCAUUCGAGCAUUGAGAUGGCACCAUUUGAGGCUUUGUAUGGUAGGAGAUGUCGAUCUCCAAUUGGUUGGUUUGACGCAUUUGAGGUUAGACCUUGGGGUACAGAUUUGUUGAGGGAGUCCUUGGACAAGGUCAAGUUGAUCCAAGAUAGACUUCUCAUGGCUCAGAGUAGGCAAAAGAGUUACGCAGAUAGGAAGGUUCGUGAUUUGGAGUUUAUGGUUGGAGAGAGGGUUUUACUUAAGGUUUCACCCAUGAAGGGUGUGAUGAGAUUUGGAAAGAAGGGCAAGUUGAGUCCAAGGUACAUUGGUCCUUUCGAGGCUGUGGAGCGUAUUGGUGAGGUGGCAUAUCAGUUGGCUUUGCCACCUGGGUUGUCAAGUGUCCAUCCUGUAUUUCAUAUUUCAAUGCUUAAGAAGUAUCAUCAGGGUGGUGAUCACGUGAUUCAAUGGGAUUCGGUGUUACUUGAUCAGAAUUUGACUUUUGAGGAGGAGCCGAUCACCAUUUUGGAUAGGCAAAUUCGGAAGCUAAGGUCCAAAGAGAUUGCUUCGGUAAAGGUUCAGUGGAAGCAUCGUCCAGUGGAGGAGGCUACAUGGGAGACAGAGGCAGACAUGAGGAGUAAAUAUCCUCAUCUUUUUGAGCGUUCAAGUUAGUUCUUUUCUUUUUCCGUUCGAGGACGAACGUUUGUUUUAGUGGUAGGUGAUGUAACGACCCGCUAGGUCGUUUUGAGAACUAGGACUAGUUCGACUCCUUUUGAAAAUUUAAGAGGUAUUUUAAACUAUUUGAUAACUAGGAGUACUUAGUUGAUACAUAUAUCUAUAUUAUAAUUAAUAUACUUGAAUAAUAAUUGGGUCAAAUUCUUUUUUUAAUAACCCUUACCAUUUGACUAUAUAAUUAAAACAAAUCAGUUAGGUUAUUUUAGAAGAAGAACAAAAAAAAUAUAAAGGUUAGAAACUACCUGGAGACGAGAGGGACCAACGGGUGCGGAGAACAUUAAUCUCCAGGUAAAUCAAUCCAAAUUUGUAAAGGUUUAUGUGUAAUUGUAUGGUACACUUGCAUUAAUAUAAUAAAAUAAGAUUUUGAGGGGAUUAAAGUGUAAUGUAUAGUCACUGUAAUGUUUUUUUUUUAACUAUAACGUGGCAUAGGAUUUAUUUGAUAAUGGCGGCCAAUGAUUGCUUAAUCAUUGGAUACAAUUGGUUCUCAUGCAAUUAUAUGCAUAUUCCUUUACAAGUUAGACAUUUGACAGUACCAUUUGAAGAAAACGAAAAAAAAGAACGUGGUCUGCAUUAUCGUAUUCCUUGAUUUUCUUUAUUAAUUCUUAUUUGUAUUUAUUUUAUCAAAUUAUGAUACUAGUUUUUGAUAUAUUGAGAUAGGAAAUUAAUUAUUGGGUGUAUAUUAUAUGAUUUAGCAUUGAAUCUAGGGUAUUUGGAGAGGUUAAGGUUAAGUUCUUGGCUUGAAAUUUGACGAAUUGGCAUAUAAAUUAUACCAAGAUUUGACGCUUGAUUAGAGAUAUGAAUGAGUUUAGGGUCUAUGAUAUAUAUAUAAUAAUAUGAAUGUCUACAAACUCGCUUAUUUAUGAAUAUUGCAUCAUUGGUAGAUCGUGAACAUUACGAAACUUUGCAAAAAGGGAAGGAACUAUCUUGAAGAUUCGUGACACGAAUUUGGCACUUGAGGUAUGUUAAGACUUUUAGACUUGUUGAAGGACUUUUUCCUAAUUAAAAAAAAAUGAAAAUAGACAAAGGGGUAAGGGGGAAAGAUGGUGGUCUCGUAUCAAUGGUGUGACGGGCAUUGGUACGAGUACCGGUGUUAUAAAAAGGAAAAAUUACUAUUAUAGAAUGUGGAUUGAAAUUUGAGAAUGCCAAAGCAUAUGGGCAUUAGCUGAUAUAUUAUUGACUUAAAUUCCUUGUGUGAUUGUGUUUUAUUUAUUUCACCCGUAUAGUUGUGAUAAUUGAGGUGGUUAUGUAUUAUGUUCAUAUUGAUUGAUUGAGAUGCAUCAUCAUCCCCUCUAUUGAAAUAAUAUGGUGCACAUGCAUAGACAUGAGACUGAGUAUAAGUUGGGCACGUGGAGAUCGUCCGUGCUGGGGAUGGUGAGAUGUUAAGAUUGUAAUUUGGGCACGUGGAGACCGUCCGUGCGAAAAUUGUUGAUAUUAUGAUAGUGCGUUGAGAUCGUCCGCACAGACACGUGGAGAUCGUCCGUGUCGGUAUAUGGACCUCGCGAGUCCCCCAUGGGUCAUGAACUCUCGAUGUAUUUCCGAGGAGUAUCAUGUAUAUACGGUUGAGUGAGUACUAGGUAUUCUGAGAC